rnacentral:lncRNA from 1 species
UUUUCGAUGAUAGAAUUUUCGAAUCGACGAUCGGCUCCGUUAGACUUGAUCUAGCGCAUUUGAAGUUUCUAGAAAGUAAUUUUUGCGAUUUUUUGAUAUCAUUUAUCUAGUAAUCGAAAGGAUUCAAAAUCCAUAAUUUUUAAUGGUUGAUAUCUGCCGUGUUCAAGUUUAACGGUGUAGAAGUAUUCAAAUCAGAUGAAAUUUUGAUACAAAAUUCUUUAUACUAUCUACAACAAGAUCAGUAUUUCUGAUCGAAAAUUUUAAUGCUAUAUCACCACUUUUUAUAGGAUUUUUAUUUUCAGCCGUUAAAAGUUAUUGAUUUUGAAUCCUUUCGAUUGCUAGGUAAAUGAUAUUGAAAAAAUCGCAAAAAUUAUUUUCUAGAAACUUCAAAUAUGCUAGAUCAAGUUUAACGGAGCUGAUUGUUGAUUCGGAAACUCCAUCAUCGAAAACGGCUCAGGAGCACGGAGGCCUCCGUGCUCCUUAGAGCACAGCAGCCCUGCUAUAUAUAUAUAUAUAUAUAUAUAUAUAUAUAUAUAUAUAUAUAGAACUAGGCUACUAUGCUAUUAAUAACACCAAGUCAUUGGUGCUAUCAAGUUUUUAGCCAUUGGAUUAAGAAAUGUGUGGUUAGGAUGAUGUGGGCCCCCUAAGGUUGAGUGGGUGGUUGGUUGAAUAGUAUGAUCUAACGGGUGAAAAUGAUCAAAAGAGUAGAUCUAACGGCGGAAAACUUGGUAGCACCAAGUGCUCCGUGCUAUUAAUAGCAUAGUAGCCGGACUCUAUAUAUAUAUAUAUAUAUAUAUCAAAGUUGUGUGGCAUGCAUGAAAUGUUUCCAUCAGUUAAUGAGGAUUCAUCUUUUCUUAUCCACCACAAUAUUCUUCAUCAUCUCUUGUUAGGCGCUUUGUCAUUUCAAACAUGGCAUUUUUAGACUUGUGCACAAUUGCACUAUUGGGAUAUACAAGUCAUGGUUGCAAUGAUGUUUAAUACUUCUACUUUAAACCUCAAUUGGGGCUCAUUCCUAUCAAUUUUUUUCACAAGUCACGAUAAGUGUUAAGGCUAUUUUUGAGCCAUUCCUAUGAAAUUGAUUCGGUGGGCAACACAAUAAAGUAAUGGAAUAUAAAUCUUUGACUCCUAUUUGGUAUCAUAUAUAUAGCUGCUUUUUUCGCUUUUUAAAUAUAAAUUUUUAUUUAACGAACUAUUCAGUAACAACUGUUAAUAUAUUUUAAAUUGUCAUUUGCAUCCGAUAGGAUUGCAUUACAAAUUUAGCCAAUGAUUAUGUAAAAUUCUUUAUUUAUUACAAAGAUUAAUAGAAAAGAUCUAAUUAGUUAAUCACAUAAACCAAAUAAGGCCCUAAUAUUUAACUCUCUAUUCUACUUAGCAUCCUUUUCAUUUGUUCAUUGUUUCUAUUAUCCUUGUACACAUGUUCUAUUGAUUCUCAAUAUUGUGUGGUGCUUUGUGUUAGCUAGUGUAUUCUCCCCAAAAGUUCUAAAUUUGUAUCCUUUUUUUAAUUUCAAAUUUAUUUCGCCUAGUUUUGGCUUUUUUCCUUAGCAAUUGCAGGUGUAGUACAGCAAUUCCUCCAAUAGAAUGACUGAGUUACAGGAAAGUCAACUUUCCAUGGAACUGACCCUGCAGGUUUCAUAUGCUUUCAUCCACUUUCUAAAAGCUAAAUUAUGAAACCUUCUCCUUGGCUCCACCCUCUUUGGAGUAACUCUUUAGAGACCUCUUUUAUGGCUAUCAAAUUGUUUACUUAUAAUAUUUCGGAGUAUAUGUUUCAAAUCAAUCAGCAAAUGCUAUUCGUGAUUAUCAGCGCAUUAGCAGCCUUCGAGGAGAUUACUUAUAAGGGUCUUUGCAGCUGCACUCACCCAUUUUAAGAUAAUUGAGUCUUUUCCUCUAUUCCAGCCCCUUCAGAGUAAUAUUUUUGGUAUGGUGCUACAAACAAACCCCAAUGAUCAUAUAGUCCGGCUACUAUGUUAUCAAUAGCACCAAGCGCUUUGCACUACUAAGUUCUCUGCCGUUAGAUCUAUCCCUUUGAUCAUUUCUAUCUGUUAAAUCAUACUAUUUAACUAAUUACCUACUCAACUCUAGGGAACCACUAUCAUCCUAGCCACACAUCUCUUUAUCCAAAGGCCGAAAAUCUAAUAGUACUAAUAACUUCGUGCUAUUAAUAUAGUAACUUAGUUUUAUAUAUACUACUUGAAUAUACGUGCAAAUACGCAUAAUAAAUAUUUUAAUACUUAUCUUAAAUUAACAUAAAUUUUUAGAUUAUAUUUAUUCAGAACGCGUGUGAAGAAAAUAAAUCAUCCGAUCGAUUGAUAGAAAUUUGGAAAAGUAUAAUUUCUUUUUUCUGUUUAUUCAUAUGGAUUGUAGUAUUUUUUUCGCUAAAUAAUAUCUGCCAAUAAUUAUUUUAAUAGUUAUUUCAAAUCAAUAAUAAAUUUAUGCAUCAUAUUUAUCCAAUAAUUUACAAUAAAAUUUAAUUAUUUUAAAAAUAAAUUUAUCUGUCAUAUCUUAAUUCAAAUUCAAAUAGUUACUACCCGCUAUAAUUAUAUAGUUAUAUUUCUAUUAUAUACAUUGAAUAUUUUUUCUAUUUUUGAAUUUUAACAGAUGCAAAAUUUAAGUAUUUAUUUUAAACUAAAAGUAUAGAAAUUUUAACUCACGUUUAGCUCAAAUUACAAAUUUUGAUCUUGAUCCACUUUAAUUAAUUUUUUUUAAUUGGGAAUUCAAAUUUAAUACCUAAAAUUAUAUUUAAUUCACGAUUUGAACUCAAAUUUUAAUUUUAAAUUUAAAAAUCAUAAAUUUAAUUUUAAUUAUAUAAUUAAAUUUUAAAUUAAAUUAGAUAUAUAUAUAUAUAUAUAUAUAUAUAUAUAUAUAUAUAUAUAUAUAUAUAUAUAUAUAUAUAUAUACACUUGAAAUUAGAUAAAUAUUUAAAAUUAAAUAUAUAUACUUGAAAUUAAAUUAAAAUUUGAUUAUUGUUGCAAUCAAUAAAAAAUUAAUAUAAUAACUAAAUAUUAGUAGAUAGAAUUGAGAUAAUCUUAAAUAUUCAAUAUAAAAAGAAAAGAUAUUGAAUGAUAUAAAAAUAUUUAACACAAAAAAUAUUAUUCAUUAGAGAAAAAGAGUUAUUAAAAGUUUUUUACAUUAUGUCUCUAUUUCCAUCCGUUUUAUUCUUAUUCUUAUAUUUAUAUUCUUAUCUUUAUAAUUUUUAAUGGAUCUGUCGACAGACCGAAAUUUAAAAUACGUGCUUAUAUAUAUACUAGUUGAGUGUACGUGCAAAUGCACGUAACAAUUAUUUUAAUUUAUUUUAAAUCAAUAUAAAUUUGCACAUUAUAUUUAUUUAAAAAUUUAUAAUUUAUAAAUUCAUAUGUUAUAUUUUAUUAGAAAAUAUUUGCAAUAUUCUAUAUAUUUUUUAUAUACAUUAAAUAUUUUUAUAUAUUUUUUGAUUUCUGAUUACCUAAAAUUUAAAUAUGUGUUUUAAACAAAAAACAUCAAAAUUUAAUUCAUAUUAUUUUAAAUUUUAAAAUUUAAUUUUGAUCCACUAUAAUUAAAAUUUUUGGAUAAGAAUGCUAUUUUUUAACAGAUUAAUCAUAACCUUUCGUUCUUAUUUGAAAUUUUUUUAAUGAAGUGAACUGAUCAUUUUUAAUUGAUACAGCCGUUCGUAGAAUUGGAUUUAUAGAUGGAUAAGAAUGCUAUUUUUUAACAGAUUAAUCGAUCAUACCCGUUCGUUCUUAUUUGAGAUUUUUUUUAAUUAAGUGAUCAUACCCGUUGGUAGAAAAUAUAUGGAAUAUUCUUUUAUUUUUUUUGGAUUUCUUUAUAGAUGGAUAAGAAUGCUAUUUUUUAACAAAUUAAUCAUAACCGUUCGUUCUUAUUUGAGAUUUUGUUAAUUUAGUGAUCAUAUCCGUUCGUAGAACAAAAAUAUGGAAUAUUCUUUUAUUCCUUUUUGGAUUUCUUUGUAGAUAGAUAAGAAUGUUAUUUUUUAACAAAUUAAUUAUAACCGUUCGUUCUUAUUUGAGAUUUUUUUAAUUAAGUGAUCAUACCCGUUCAUAAAAAAUAUAGGGAAUAUUCUUUUAUUUUNGAAAAAUUGUAGGGUCAGGAUGAUAUUAGUCGGUUAGAGUUGAGUGGUCCCCCUAGGGUUGAGUGGUCCCCAUUGGGUUAUAGUAUUUAAUCCAAUAGUUAAAAAUAAUGAAAAGAGUUGAUCCAAAGGCUAAAAAACUGAUAGUUAUACAUAUAUAUAUAUAUAAAUAUAAUUUUAAUUAAAUCAGUGCAUGUCGCAUGUGAUUGAUUGUACAUCAAUAAUCUUUGAUGGGACCUUUAAGAGUAAAUGCCUAUAGUUCCACUCACCGACUAUAAGAACAUUGGACCUUCUCUUGGCUCCGUUCUUUUAAAAGUAAUGCUUUAGAUACCUCUUAUGCGACUCCCUCAAACUGCCACCAAUAAUGCCGCAGGAGUAUUUGCUUUAAACCAAUCAGCGUGGAUUACAUGUGAUUGUCAGCACAUCAGCAAUAUUUGACAAAAUUAUUAUUGAGGGUCUCUGUCGUUGUAUUCAUCCACUUUAAAAUAAAUCCCUAUUCAACGCAUAGUCCUCACAUGAGAAGAGAUUCACAUUCCUGAUCUAGACCACAGUGUUACAUUCAUGGACCACCCUGACACAUGUUAUAGUGCAACAUGUGUGGUUUUUCCCUCUCAAGUCAAUUUUGGAAUCCAGUCACAUAACACAUUGAAUCAUUACAAAUUUGAUAGUAUUUAUCCAUUUAACAUUUCAACUUCUUUUGAUUGAUCAUGCCCAAAUUAAGAAGCAACUUGGCUAAAUAUUUGGUGUGCUCCACAGAUUGCAAAAAAUUUGAUGGAUGUGGUUCAUUUGUGGCAUAUAAAUUGUUGAUGUUGAGAGCACCAGGAAAGAAUAAUAUUGAAAGGGAAGUCACUGGAUAGUAGUUGCUUGGUUAUUACACUACAUUGGUCCUCCAUAUACUUCAUUUUCAAGUUGGGUCCACAAUAUUUAUGUUUGGAGGCCAGCGUCGUGCCAUUUUCGAUGAGAUCGAUCUUUUGUACAGCAUGGCAUGCAUUUUAGACAGCCCUACGUACGGCUAACCUCCCAUAUUGCAGGAGGUCCAGAGUUCAACGGUUGCGUGACUCUCUCUAACAUCCUACGAGAUCAAUCCUUUGAUUGACACAGUACGUAUUAGCACCAGUCCUGACCCUCUGUUUGUAUGCGACAUGCAUGACUUCCAGAAGUAAAAAUAUUUGCAUUAUUACUGAACGGUUUUCUACCAAAUCGGUCGUUUCGGUGAGAAAUGGAUCACUAGUACUGCGCAUUUGAAUGUGGUCCAAACAGUACCAUUAUUCUGAAAGAAAGAUAUGUACAUCCACUGUUGUGUGGGGCCAAAAUGGUCAACUGUGAGAGAGAGAUAAGAAUAUAUGUUACAAUGGGAGAUCAUAAUAGUCCACUACCUGAGGAAAAAAACAUUGGCAGAUCAUAAAGUACUGUAGUUAAGGUGGACCUUCUGAUGGUUAAAGAAAGGCCUAGAAUGUGCCACGUGGAGGGAGAUAGUCCAGGGAGAAAGGGUUCACCUGAGUCCUACUUAAAGCUGGUCAUGUAACAGCUCCAACUAUUUUGGGUUUUAAAUGGGGGGUGAAAGGGGAAACUAAUUUUAGAAACAAUAACAACAGUUAGAUUAAAAUUAUUAAAUUUGGUCACAUUCGAUCGAUCAAAAAAUAAUUGGAUUCAAUCAAUCAUUUUGUUUCUCAACAAUAAUCUGAUCUACAAGUUUCGUCACAUUUAAUUGGGGCAAUUACUUAUAUACCCCUAAAAAGUUCCCGACUUUCCGAUUUACCCCUCUUAGAUGACUAAUAUUGAAAAUAUCUCUUUACGUUCCAAACUCUGUUAAUUCUGUAAAAUUACUAUUUUGCCCUUUCAAAUAUACCCUUCCACCAUCACUGAUUUUCUUAUUUGCCCUUAAAGUCAUUGGUACAAAAGGUAUUUUGACUUUUGGUCUUUUCAAAUAUACCCCUCUACCGUUACCAACAUUUCUUAUUUCCCCUUAAGUUAAGGAAAAAAUUAGUAUUUUAAUUUUUUUUUAACUGUGAUAGAUAUUUAACUCAUAUUUAACCCAAAUUAACUUAAUAGGAGAUAACUGCGGGGAUAUUUUGUAAUAACGGUAGAACAUAUGAAGGGUAUUUUAGAAAGAAAAAAAAAUAGGAGUAAAUCGGAUAUUUUCAAAUGUAUGAGAAAUAUAUAGGCAAUUAUCCCCAUUUAAUUAGUAGUAUUGCAUAUUAUUUACCGUUCCAUCUUGUAUAAAAGAAUGAACUAAAGUUGGCAUUUUUCACUUUAUUUUGCAUAGUAUUUAUGCCUCUCUUUAACCAACACAUCCUAACUCAAUCAAAAAUAGAAUGUACUAUUCGAAUUUAAUUUCUAAUAUGUUCAUACUUAUUUUAGGACAUAUCUUACUUUCCCAAAGAAAGAACAAAAAAAAAAACUUGAAAUAUUUUGUUCUUGAAGCGAUCUGCUUGAUUUCUAUGUAUUUUUUUCUCAACUACAAAACAACUUUCAAAUACAUAUACAUAGCAAUUGUUUUUCUGGGUCGAUAUACAGAUCGACCUAGAAUCAAAAUAAUUCAUCCAAAAUAAGGAGUUAAUAUACAUUAUUUUUCUUUUUUCUCAACCUUGAAAGAUUUAUCCCUGGCCUAAUUAAUAAACCUAGGCAAUUAAUAAAGGGAAAAAGGGCAACUAUAAGCAUGUGGUGCUGUGGGAAAAAGCACUUUGGUCCUAAUUGACCAAAAUGCAUAUGUGUGGUGAGUGAGGUGUCACAUGUGGACUCAACAGUAAUGAAAAUAUAUAUAAUUAAUUGCACUAUCUCUCUAUGUGCUUUGUACAGUGAGUGAAAAAUCACUUUCCUAACAAGUUAAUUAAUCAAAUUGUGGCAUAUUAAAUUAUUUGCUGAAUAAAAUUAUUUAAAUAUUUUUAUGUAAUAACUUAAAUUUCUAGAGAAUAACAGUCAUUUACAUAUUAUUUUAUAUAAUAUUAGAGUUAGAGACGUUGUGUUCUGAGGUUGGUAACUUGAGCUUUUGGGAAAUAAGGUUUAUACAUUAUUUAACAUUAGUGAAGCCAUAUUAAUAAAUUAGAUGGUAUUCAAUUUAAUUUUAUUUUAAAACUAUUUUUAGCUUUAUAAUUGUGAAUAAUCUUACGUAGCAGGUAAUUUAAAAUAUGGUUUUUUAAAUAUAUAUAUAUAUCUAUCUAAAGGUUCUAUUGCUAAUUACUUAAUUAGUUCGAAUUAAGUCACCCUAGUGCGUACACAACACAGGGUAGGAGAAGUAAUUAAUCACGCGUGUUUUCAUUUUUUAAACCUCAAAAUUCCUUUGGAGUUAUAAUUAAGUUAUAUAAACCAUAAUCACAUGCAUUUAAGUAUAGUUACUUAUGACUCUUUUAACAUUUUUAAAAUACCCACAGCAAUUUUAUUCAGCUUAAUUUAAAUAAAUUGCGUAAGUCUUUUUUUUUUAAAAAAAAUAACUGCUCAGACUGAAAAUAGAAAAAAAAACAGUUAAAACUAAUCCAGGGGUUAAUCAUGUUAAUGUAUUUUGAGAAUAUAUGUUUGUACAAAAAUAUCUCUUUGUGAUGAUGACACAUGAUAUUAGAAUAUAUAUCUAUAUAGAUGAGGUUUGAAUCCAUUAUCAUGUAAUUAAAAGGAAAAAAAAUAUGUAGUCGAUUCGCGUUGUACGCAUGCAAAUAAUAAAAGUUGUAAUCAUAUUAAAAUAAAAGCCUUUGACUUCGAUAUAGUGUGACCAAGUUUCUACUCAAAACACACAAAAAAAAAGACAAAAACAAAAACAAAAAAAAAGCAUUAAAUCAAGUGAGUGAUUUGAAAAGAAGAUUAAUGCGAGAGUUCGCAAAAUCGGAGAGCUUCGAAUGCUACAUAACUUUUGGAAAGUUAUUUUUCAUGAAACAUUACAAAGUUCCUUUUAGUUCAAAAUAUGUUUAAAUUACUAUGAAAUUCUCCAUGAGGUAUGAAACUUACAUGUUCUUGGACUAAUAAAUAUCUCAUAAUCAUUUUCUUUUCUUUUGUUUUUUUUUUUCAGUAAGUAACUGAUCUUUUCCUCUAAACACCAAAGUAAGAUUCUUUGCAUUAGUUUUCUAGUGAAGGUUUAUUAAUCCCUAUACUAACACUCUAUAUAUAUACGGCGAAACAUUAAUCUAAACAACUACAAAAAUAAUGAGCUUAGAUCGCGACGUCGAAACCAGUUGUUUCAACACAUCACCCUUCACAGUCCAAUAGAUGAUAAUUCAUAAAUAAUUAUCUCUUCAUUUCAUCAUCAAACUAUGUGCAAACUCACACUGGUUAGGUUGAACAUUUGCUUUAAAAAAAAAGGAAAAAAAAACAUAAUAUGAUGUGUAAGUUUAGUCCCUAAUUCCAAGAUCUAUUGAGUUGGACCACAACUCCAUAUUUUGUGGAAGCUAAAUAAAUAAUAGAAGAACUUUUAUAAGAAGAUGAUGACAAGUACUAGAAUAUUUAUAUACAGGAUUAGUUGGUUUUUUGGCCUUUCUAAUAAUAUCUACUUAGUUUUGGGACCAUAACAUUUGUGUAUGUAUUGAUCUAGAAAAAAUAACAUAACCUUUGAUGCUACUCUUUUGUUGUGGACUAAACCUACAAGUUAUAAAUAAACAAAAGAAUAGCUAUAGGUUCCUCAGAAGACACCUUGAUAUUCUGAAUAUAGUUGAUGAAUGAGUUUUAUAUGUUACUAAUUUUUAAUGUAUAAUUUGGGUCACGUUCGAUGUUGUGGCCAUUUUCCUUUUUUCAAUUUUUUGCAGCAAACUUAUAUGCAAUCGCGUAGUAGAGUAGACGACGAAUUUCUUGUAUUAUGUAUAUUUAUAAUAUUUUUUCACUGGCUGUCACAUAUACAAAGUAGAUUCCUCGAAUAUGUUUUAGGAUACAAUUUUAGUUACCCCUAGCAUCACUCUUAAAUUGAACAAAGGAAAAUGUAAGAUAUUUUUUAUGUCCUCAUCCUAGGAUGAGGACAUAUAGUUUUUUUUAAAAAAAAAAACCAUAUUUCUUUUUAAUAACUUUUGAAAGUACUUUGGAUUGUACUGCAUAAAUUAAGAAUUGAAUCCCUAUUGGUACCACGAAUCAAGUUGAAUCAAACAAGUAACCAUUUUAAAUAUUAAAAAAAUUUUGUGUAGAAAUAAUGAAUCGAUCAACUUGAUACUAAACCAACUCGUGCUUAGUUACAUCACAUAUUCUUGCUCCCCAUUGGUAUAAUUUUUCAACUAUUUCUUAAUAGAUGAUGAAACUCCCUUAUCUUUUACAAAUUUAAAUUGUUUUUUUUCAAAAAAUAUUUGAUAUAUUAGCCGCCCUUGUACUAUUGAUUCUAUUUUUUAUUAGAAAAAAAAAAAGGAAAAGUGCUUUUGAUGAUGCUUGUUUAAUGGCAAAGAAGUUUGUUUUCGGUAAGAAUAGUUGUUUUGUUUUGUUCUUUGUUCUGUCUCGGUGGUGAGUAACCCUCCCAUCCUCGUACUUAUAAAAUAUUUUUAAUAAUAAAAAAUCUGAUUCGACAAUCGACUAUAUUAGACAUAAUUUACCUAUUGGAAUUAUUUAGAAAUCAAAUUUUAUAAUCUUGUAACAUUAUUUACUAAAUAAGGCCUUAAAAAUGACUAUUUUAAGGCUUAAUAUGGUACAUUUUUAAGUUCAACGAUAUAGAACAAUCUAAAUUACAUAAAAUUUUAAUAGAAAUUUCUAUUUAACAUCAAUAGCAAAAUUAAUACUUCUGAUUUAAAUUUUGAGUCUUUUAUCAUUAUUUUUUAUAAAAUUUUUAUUUUCCAACAUUUAUUUUAAGGCUCUUCAUUUACCAGGUAAAUAAAAUCAAAAAAAUUAUAAAAUUUAAUUUCUAGAUAGUUUCAAUAAGAUAGAUCAUAUCUAACGAAAUCGAUUACCAAAUUGAAUAUCCAAUCAUCUAAAACAACUUACAAAUAUGAAAGCUUCCCUACCUUUAAAAGCAUAGGAGCCUAGCUCCUCAGUGGUAUAUACCAAAUAUAAUAGUUGAAUUUUAAUAGGGAAUUUUACAUAUGGACCCUUACAAUAUCUGAAUUUUUUAGAUGCUUUUCAAAUAUAUUUCUUUCAUAAAGCUAAUCUUAAAAGUUUAGAGGGUACGUUAAUGUAAACAAAAACUUUGUGAGGGUAAAAGCUUGAGCAAUUAUCUAGAGUCUAAAUGUUUAUGUUUUCACCCUAGUUACUUGAGAGAGAGAGAGAGAGAGAGAGAGAGAGAGAGAAAUAUAUUUGCAUCAAUAUAUUAUUGAGGGUGGUUUCCAAUGGAGCGUGUGCAAAAUGGUUUCUGAUGGGCAAGUUGGCGAAGCUAAAAUUAAAGUAGAUGAUUAAAUCACGUUACAAGUUCAACCAAUGUAACUCUGAUUCUCACGUAAGGUAGAGAUAUUUUUUGGGCUUAAAUCCACUGNGAGAGAGAGAGAGAGAGAGAGAGAGAAAUUCCUAGUCAUGAAUAUAUUAUUAAGGGUGGUUUCCAAUGGAGUGGUUGCAUGAUAAGUGCUCCCCAAAAAGGUAAAAUUAAAGUAGAUGAUUAAAUCACGUUACAAGUUCAACCAAUGUAACUCUGAUUCUCACGUAAGGUAGAGAUAUUUUUUGGGCUUAAAUCCACUGGCAAUUAGUUCAAAUUAUUUCUAAUCUUUUAUUACGUGUCGGCGAGAUUAAUUAUAAACAAAAGUUAUGAUGUUUACAUCAGUGAUGCUAAAAUAAAAAAAAAAAAAGAACUAAAAAUGUAGACUUACAUAACAAUGUGUUCAAGCAUAAAUUCACUAAUAGAAAUUCUAAAUUAUUAGUGUAAAUUUUUCCCCUACCAUAUUGUGUCAAAGAUAUACAUUCAUAAGCCAAGAAGUGCAUUUUUCUUUUUGUAUAGAUACACAAGGGAUUCUCUCUCUUUGGGGAUGGUCUUAAGAAAGCUCCCAAUAAACUAACUAUAGAGAUAAUGAUAGAAUCAUUCAAUUAAAGCAAAACUAAAUUGAAAUAACUUGUUGAGCUACUUUACAAAAGAAGAGGCUAUACCUUUAAAAAUCACCGGUCGACUCGCGUAAUAACGUAUCGCCAUUUCUCCCAGUAAAACAUAGUUUCUGAGAGGGGCUUCUUCCAUUUCAAAAUGGACCAUGCUGUAAGGGCUAAAAAAGCGGGGAUUAUGAAGUUAGAAAGGACCGUCGACGGGUUAACAGUAACACCGAUUGCAUCGGUUAUCCAAUCCGAGUAGCUGAAGCUCGGGUUUAAUGCUUUCUGCAUGACGAAAGCACCGAGUGCCCAGUCGAGUGGGACGCUGCCCACCUCGUUCGCAAAAUCAAUCCUGCUCGGCAAAGAGAAAAGCUCGAAACAUGAAGAGAAAAUGAUAGCACACUCCGUAAAGCAAUACACAUUCGAUUAAAACAUAGGAUGCAUGCGCAGAUAUGGAGCAAUGCAUGGAGCAGCGCACGCACCUUUUAUCAUCCAAAGCGAUGCCAAGACUGUCGUGCAGUAAGGCCACGAUAUAUGCUGAGGAGAAGCAAUAUAAGAGGAGUUCCUCCUCAUCCAAAGAAUGAUGGCGCUUCUUAUGCUUUAACCAAUCUUCGUUACAAAAUCGUUCCCCAGCCAACAAUAAAUCAGAGAGAAAUGAUGUUGGACCAAGCCCAAAGAACUAUCGAACAAGAAAACAAGGCCGGUUAAGUAAAACAUAAAGCAAGUAUAGUAGUAGCCACAACCAACAUAAAACCACAAACAGUAAAGUAAAUAUUAUGGACUCAUUAUGUUCCGAACCGCUAUCGAUUUUCUAGCAAAAACUUAGUGACAACAACAAGAACAUAGUAGCCCAUCCAUCGACACAUCCCAUCUCAUAGAAUGUGAAUUUGAAAAAGCACAGCAAAACAAGGCCUAACUUUUAUCAUUUUGCAUGUAGACACAAACUAAAACAUCUAAACAAACUGGAGGUAAUUCACUAACCUUUGAAGUGUAAAAGAAAUUCUCUGUAGCUAAGAAUCUCCCCUGCAGCUUCGGCACAAAGGAUGAACCCAAGGGGCAGUGAUGAUAUACACAUUUCUCUGCAUGCAACAAAGUUCUUAUUUAACUACUAGGAAGCAGAAAUAGUUUCAUCACGAUAUCAUUUUAAAACAAUUAGUAUACACAACAUCUACGGCUCACAGAAAGGGAAUUACAUAAUGACAUAGGUAGUAUAAGCAAUAUUGCUUAUAUUUUAGAUACUCAGCCAUGAAUUACAUUGCGAUACAACCUAGAUGUACAACGGCUAAGAGCAAAAGUUUCUAAUGAUUUAUCUUCAAAGAUAGGUUAGUUAUAUAGGGAUUCAUUACUGAUGAAUAUGCUAGCUAGGUCUUACAGGAUGGUGUAAACGACCAACAUGCAGUAUGCCUACACAUAUAUAACCUGAAAAAUGGAGCUUUAGGGAAUUUAAAAAGCAAAAAGCUUCUACCUUUUCCUUUCUGGAGCAGUGCCAAUGCAGCAGAUCUACACUCAGAAAAAUUACCAACUGCAUAAGCAGUGAACCGGACGCCAGCAGAUAGCUUCAGUGAUCUCAUACUAUGCAAGAACCCUCUAGGAGAGCACGGAUCUCUAUAUAUCACCUCCUGAAGUGAUUCUGCAGAUGCAUUAAAGGAAAUAGCUUAACAAAUUUUUUUUUAAGUACCACACAAUAAUAAAAGCAUCGUAUCAUGUUAUAUUGAAAGGGUAAAAAUGAAAGUACUAGAGGAAAUGAUGAAUUUUAAAGCACUCCCUAGAAAAUAGAUGGCCAUCGCUUUCCUAAAAUGAUGAGUUUUUAAAUGUAUAGAGAAUAAACUGCAGCAAAUGGAUCAUACUAGAGUUACUAGACCACAAGACAAAAUUAUGUUCUCCGCUUAUUAGGGAAUUUCAUCGCUAGUAGCAGAACACUUCUUCUGAAUCUGUUAACCAAUAUUAUUCAGCAUAUAUCAACAGUGCAUCACAAGAAGCAGCUUACUUGAUUUCAGGUGUCUUGAGCUAAGAAGUUCAUGAAGUGAUUCAUAUGCCACAUUCUGCAUGAUAACAUGAGGUUGGUGAGAGCACAAUACCGAUGAUAAGAGAGUCAGACAAAAAGAACAAUAAAAAGGAGAAAGUUAAACAUGUAUAUACAAGAGCGAAAGCAUAUUAGCAUCAAGUUGUAGUCAUGCAAACUUCAAUAGACAUGUCCACCCAAAAAAUGCUGCUACAGACAUAUUAGGAUCAAGAUUCAUGAUGUAUGGAAGAUACAUUAUUCAGCGUAAAUGGCAGGCUAGUGAAGAAUGAUAGACUAAAAAUUUUUAGUUAAAUAUGAAAUGCACUACAAUAGAAAGCUUUUGUUAACACGGAAUCAUCUGAAUGAGCCACCUGACCAAGAUGUAGAAAGCUGUUGCUGUAUAGAUUAUAUGUGGCAUCCCCAAGCUUAAGCACCUGUGAGAACUCUGAGGGCAAAUGUUCACUUGUAACAAAUGUCACCUGAAACAUAAACAAUGAAGCGAGUCUAGCAGGAAGAACAGAGACUAUUCAAAGGGUUUGCAAUUAUUUCCAUGUCAUUACAUUAAUUUUCCAUGUUAAGAUAAAAAAUGGCGACAAAAAACAGUUAGAAAUUUACUACUGCCCAACUACGAAAGGCCAAAGUGCUAAAUUAUUUGAAAGAUCCCAUUUCCAGAAGUGUGAACCCUGGCUGGGACAAAUGCAAAUAAAUAAGGUUUUUAGAGGUAUGCACAUGUAUCAACUUUGUAGUAGUAAUGUCAACUCAAAUGUUUGGAGGUGCAAAAGAGGCUUCACAUGACAGAGCCCUUGAGUACAAUACGAGAAAUAGAGGGGUCAAAAAACAAAGGGACGAAAUAAGACCUGAGCAGAUGCUCCACCAAGUUCAAGUAUUCCAGUUGUUUUCUGAGGGUCACCUCCAAGAGCGCCCAGGGCAUAGUUUGCCGCAACCCAUGCAUAUAUGCCUUCAUCAGUGCCUGCAAAAUAUGUUCAAACAUUAUAGCAUUUUCUUCAACAAGUUCUUCGAAUGUCGUAUUAUGAGAAACAGAUAGCAGCGUAUUGAAAGCACUUUCUCUAAAUAUCUAUUACAUGCAAUUUAGUUCAAUCUUUCUAUAUGAACCCAAUGGAACACACAAACUUUUAUUGCUGUUCUCUCGAGAACCCAAGUAGCAGAAGCACAGUAUCUACGAUAACGAUCAGAACUAGAUGCAUAAUGAACAACGAUAUAUGCUUCAGAAAAUGAGUAUAAAUAACUAUGCAAAUAUAUAAUUGCAACUAUCAAUGUCCCUCCUUUACAAAAAUUCAACCAAAAUUACUCAAACAUUAAUGCGACGAAGAGAAUAGCAGUACGAAAUUGCAAACAAUAGAGAUCUAAAUAACCUACCUGAGAUCACACCGGCCCAUUGAUCCUGGAACCGGAACCUCGAAGCCUUAAGAACUUUCCUGCAAGACUCCAAUAUCCUCUCCACAACCCCAGCUUCAACAAGCCGCAAGCCCGCGGUCGCCAUUAACCUCACCUCCGUCUCCCCCCACCGAUCCCUCGGCACCAUCCCUCUCGCGAACUCCAAAAGCCCUAGCAGAGACUCGCCGGCACGGCUGGGUUCCUCCGCAUACGCCGAAAGACCCGGAUUCACCUUCAUCGAAGCUGUACGCUCGAGAUCGAGCUGCGGAACUCCUCCCCACCCGAUCCGGUACCCGAAGACAUGGAUCCGGGAUCCCGUGCUCCCACCAUCGAUGAUAAUAGCGAAUUCCGGAGGCGUCCAGCCGCGUGAUGCGACGAGGAGGUAAAGGAACACGGCCAAGGCUGGGGAAGCGGCGGCGAGGACACAGACGCCACCGCCGCUGCUGCGGCUGAGCUUAGGAAUGGAGGAAGGGAUCUGGGAGAGGAGGAGCGAUUGGAGCUGAGGCAGCGCCGAUGAGUCCAUCUUGGUGGUGGUGGUGGCGGCGGCUGCCCCGGGAUCGAUCGCGCGAGGUGGAGCAUUAGAGCGACGCAUCAAAGGAAGGAGACGAUCCCGGGAUCUAGGGUUUCGAUCGAGGAGGGAGAAAGGGGGAGAGGGAGAGGGUUAGGGUUUUCUAGGGUUUUGCCACGCCCCUCUCCGCCUCUUCUCGCCACGCGCCACCCCCGCCCCUACGGGGCGGAGAUUAAGGAGUGUCGGAGACUCCUUUUGGACUCCGGUGAAUGGACACACAAUCUCCCUAGACCUGGUCCCGCCACGUAACCCCUAAACCACCAAUCAUCAUAGAAGAAAGAAUAAAUAAAAAAAGAGAAGGAUAAAUUUUUUUGCCGGUUCAGUGAUGACGUGGCGGACCAGGUUUAAGAAAGAGUUUACGAGGCGAAUGUGUUAGUUAGAGUUUUGGAUUUGCUACAUCUUUCGCUGUAGCGUGCCACGUGUACUUUUGCUCGAUAAAAUUAGUUUGUAGUUUUGCUCGAAAAGUGUUAAUUACUGCAUGAGAAAAUGGAGACGGCUUCUGUUAAUACGGUUUUGAUUUAGGAAGAUGAAUGAGUUUGGGCAGGUUUGAAGAAGCUAAAAAUAAUCACCUUCUCGUUUCAUUCAGUUUUACGCUUUAUUCAAAAUCUCCCAAACUACUAUUUUGAAUCAAAUUCCGAAAAAAUAUAACUCCGCGUGUCGUAUUGGUUUUGCUUAAUCCAUUUUUCUUUCCAAGCCAAAAUGUUUUUAAGAAAGCCGUAGACUAAUUUGGUAUUCCAACUCAUCUUACGUUACUAUAUAAAGUGGAGAUUAAAGGAAAAUAAAUAAAAAUUUGCUUUUGUAUUUAAAGGUGAGACUAUUAAAAGUACAUCAUAAUCAAAUUAUUAUGAUAUACAAAAUAUGAUAUUACAUAACGAAAAAACACUGAAUAUUUUUUUAUCAUAUUUUAUUACUGUAAAUAAUAUAAUUUUCUGUAAUCUUAAACUGAGCUUUAGAUGGCCUGAAAUCAUGGCAUACCAAAUAGCCAUCUGGCUUUUUUAUUCUUUGUAAUUUUUUAAAUUGAUUUUAGAAUAUAUAUAUAUAUUGUUAUUCAUUCAGUAUAAUAAUAAAUUUUAAUUUGAGGAGAAAAAAAUUAAAAAAUAAAAUAUUUAAAUAAAUUUAAAAAUCGUGCACAGGCCGGGCCGAGCUGGGCCGGAGUACGGCCUGUUGGGUUUAUAUCGCACCCGUUUUUGCAUAACCUGAUCCGAACGGUCCAACGGGCUCGCCUCUUUCCUCGAUCCCUCUCCUCUCUCUCUCUCUCUCUCUCGAAGCUCUCGAAGCAACUACUACUACAUUGCUCUCUCUCUCUCUCACACACACACACACAAACACACGCGCAAAUGGUGCUCCUCUCCCCAUCGCCCCACCUCGCGCGCCACCUCUCCCUCGCGGCCUCUCGACACCUCUCACCAUGGUCGACCUCGCUCCCCCUUCCUCGCUCGCGGCCCCUCCUCCUCGUCCGUCGCCGCGUCCUCCACGGUUCGUCUCCUCCUCUUCCUCUUCGUCGGAUAGCCUCAGCUCUUCUUUGUUCGUUAUUUCCCUCUAAUCCGUGGUGAAUGGUGUAGGGUUUUGGGCUUCUAAGUUUGCACGAUUGUGUUGCGAUUCAUUGAUGCUUGGUUGAGCUUUGAGAUGAUGGUUUUGACAUAGUGUUGGGGGUUAGCUGAGUAGAGUUGAAUUUGGACGUUUCGGCUUAAAACCUCGAGUAAUCCUCGUUAAAAAUCGGAUUUUGAUUGUACAUCGAUCAAUUUUGUUACAGUUUAGCGCCCGGCGAGUUCCUUUCGUCGUAAUUUAUGAGUAAUUGAGAGUGUAGGUGUAUUCAUUUAUCCGAUGUUCGUGCGAAAUAAUUGGAGUUAGAAUAAAAAGAUUAUAGAGAUGCCAAUUAUUGCUUAUUAUAUGUAUAAUUAUUGGGAAAAAUGUCAGGUUUGGAGAGUUUUCCAUUGCCCGUAAUAAAUGGCUGUGUUUAGGGUUGUAGCCAAGCACAAGUAUGUUUUAACUCCCUGUUGCUUGAGCUUUGCGACAUUUUAGAUAGUAGCAAUAAUUGUCUGUAAAUGAAUUUGGCCACUUCAGCUCAGAUCAUAUAAGAAUCAUUAUUCAAAAUUGUUUUUUUUUUUUUCAAUGUAUUGGUCGGUUAAUUUAAGAGAUAUUUCCUCACCUAAGUGGUGAUUAAUGUGUAGUGCUGUAUUUCUGACAAUUUUAGAAGUAGUUUAUCAAUUUUUGAAGCUUAAUGCUUUAAAACAACCAUGUUAAUUUUUGGAGUUUAAUGCCUGUGGACUCUUUAUGAUGUUAACUAGGGGAUUUAAAAUUGGGAUACCACUUGUUUUUGCAGUGCAAGCAAUUGCUACUCCAGCAGAAACUACUGUUGGGUUCGACGAGAUGGCUGCUGACACAAAGCGGAAGUAUUACAUGCUUGGCGGCAAAGGUGGUGUCGGCAAGACAAGCUGCGCAGCUUCCCUCGCCGUGAAGUUUGCAAACAACGGCCAUCCGACCCUUGUAGUCUCAACUGAUCCUGCUCAUUCUUUAAGUGAUUCCUUUGCACAGGUAUGUUUUUACUGUCUAUAUUACAAUAGCAAAAAAAAAAAGUUAGGUGAAUGCAAAAUUUGGGCCUUUUUGGCUCUUUUGGAGCUUCUGUUCGAGUGCUAUUUGCGCAAUGCUUCUGAUGAAGCACAAACAACAUUUUGUUUAAAUUCUUUUGGUCGAUUCCCUCUAUAUCAGAAUUAGAGCUUUCACUGCUUUGGCUUUUGGAGCCCAAAAGCCCAUUUCAGCAUCCCGCCACAUCAAAAUUUCCAUACUUUUACUUUCUUACAACUACUAGGUUUGGAAGGUUCUGCUUCUUGGACUAGAAAAGCUUUUCCUGACACCAAGCUAGAUGAGCACUGUUUUUUGUUAAUGCUUAUAUUGAUUCAGAACUGCACAUUGGAAAUUAUGUCAUAGUUGACCUAAGCCUUUCUAAUCAUGGUUUGUAGGAUUUGAGUGGAGGAACAUUGGUACCUGUUGAUGGACCAGAUUCUCCCCUAUUUGCACUUGAGGUACAAUUGGCUAUAAUUAGAGAUGCCCUGUGGAGAUACCAUGCAUCUGUUUUGUUUCUCUUCUUUCUUGAGCAAUUUAAUGAGUUAUUUCCUCUGUUGCUCAAUAAUUUAUCCUUUACAGAUAAAUCCCGAGAAGGCUAGGGAAGAGUUUCGAACCGCAAGCCAAAAAAGUGGUGGAACUGGGGUCAAAGAUAUCAUGGAUAGUAUGGGACUUGGAAUGCUAGUUGAGCAGGUAGAUCAUAUUUAUCUUGUGGAUUUUAUCUAUCCUUGGUAUUGUCGCAGGGCUAAUGGUAGAUGAUUAUGAAAUUGUGAAAAUCAAUCCGAACACUAUAUUUUAUUUAUUACUUCUUCUUCCAUAGUGCAUUGGGCAAAAUUAUGAUGCUUUCAAGGUGUCGCUUUUCGAUGAAUGUUUGAGGUCUCACAUCGAAUCAGCAUGCAAUCUCCUAAUUUCAAGUUUUCUCCAGGAACCGAAAUGCAUUCAUCACGAUUUUUUAACCUUAAAUAUUUAAUGAAAGAGAAGUAAAAUCAAAGCUCCCAAGUUCCUAUCUAUACUAAUCCUUUUCCUCUUUGUAAAGAUUCUUGUAUGACUACACUAUGCUUAAUAUGACAAUUGAUUUUGUAAUUUUAAUAUAAAUUGAAGUUUCUUUUUUGAUUAUAUCCCAAUGUUCAAGUGCUAACUCCAUCCUUAUCAUGCUUAAUGAUGAUGACUCUUUAAAUUUAGCAGGCAAGUGGCGAGUCCUUAAAAACUUAUGCUAUUUCAAAUCAAAGUUGAGUUGUAAUAUCUAAUAUUCAUGUGAGAUCACUUCUCUGUGCAAAAUGCUUUGUUUGAACGAUAAGUUUUCAAGUUCGUUUUCAUCGGUACUAACUGAAUUCUCUUAUUAUGAUGAAGCUAGGAGAACUAAAACUAGGAGAAUUGCUUGACACUCCUCCCCCUGGACUAGAUGAAGCUAUUGCAAUUUCGAAGGUAUAAAAUAAUGUUAACAGGUACAGCUGUUCAUUUUCUUUGUUGUAUAUAUUAAGAAUCGACUGUAACUAGUUCCGUAUAAUUUCCAGGUUAUGCAAUUUGUUGAAGCACAAGAAUAUAGCAUGUUCACCCGUAUAAUUUUUGACACUGCUCCUACUGUAAGCAUAGUUUCACCAAAGGCUUCUUUUCUUGUGCAUGUAAUUAUGUUUUACUUGAACAACUCAUUUUUUUCUUCUGAUAGGGGCAUACACUUCGGCUUUUGUCCUUGCCUGACUUCUUGGAUGCAUCUAUAGGCAAGAUUAUGACGGUAGAUUCUUAAGAACGAUAAUCUAAUUAAAGCGACCGUAUUAUUGUUUGAACCUCUAUUCCAAGUCAAGUUUUUUGCUUCUUGACUUUAAAUACAAUCUACCAGUUUAAUAAUAUUUGUUACUGUUACUUGUCUAAUCAGCUGAAGAGGAAGUUGGCUUCAGCAACCUCGGCUAUUAAAUCAGUUUUUGGACAAGAAGAAACACAACCGGAUGCGGUAAAUACUGACUUUUGAACUUUGUUGUGCCGUGCAUCAUAUAGUAGCUAAAGAUUCCAUCUCUUCGUCUGUGAAGUCUGACAAACUAGAGCAACUAAGGGAGAGGAUGGUCAAAGUGCGAGAGCUUUUCCGCGACACAGAAUUGACAGAAUUUAUUAUAGUGACAAUCCCAACGGUGAGAGCCAUACUUGUACUAAUCUCUCUCUCUCUCUCUCUCUCUCUCUCUCUCUCUCUCUCUCUCUCUAACAAAAGCGUCGGUAAUCCUUUGUUUACAAUUUCAGCAAAUAGUUACCAUGAUGAGAAUGAAUUAGUUUCAUGCUUGAUUUUUUUACCAUGCCAAACAGAAAAGGUCUCCAAAUACUGUCGCCAGUUCCUUGUAAUAGUCAAAACGAGUCCUAUUCACAAUAGGAGUCUAUAGAAACAAGAAGUAGAUAUGCGCUUAAUCGCCUUUGACGGGAUAUUAUUCCAGGCCAAGUGAGCAUUUGGCAUGCACGAACACACACUCAAACACCGCCUACAUUUGUAACUGCACAAUUUGGCUUAUACGUUAAUUUUGUGCACCAUUCUCGUUUGUCACGUACCAUCAAGGAUAACUAAGAUUACUGCAGACUCCUAUUAUUUUUGGUCAAGAAAUAGUCCAGAGAAGCACCUAAUUAUGAAUUAUCACCACGACUUUCAAGCACCUCUGUAUGAAAGCAAAUGCGUGUAUCUGUUUGCUAUUUAGAGCAAGACAAACUAUGUUUUGACUAAGUUUUAUGCUGUCAAUCUCGUCAGGUUAUGGCGAUCAGCGAGUCGUCGAGACUCCAUGCUUCCUUAAAGAAAGAGAAUGUGCCUGUGAAGAGGCUGAUUGUUAACCAAGUUUUACCACCAUCUGCAUCAGACUGCAAAUUUUGCGCAAUGAAAAGGAAGGUAUAACCCAAUAAUCAUUUUUAGGUAUUCAAUGUGGAUGGUUUAUAAUUUUUGUUAUAACUAUAAUCAUCGAGCGGCUUUUUUAUUCAACUCUCACAUUUUGCUCCUGAUUAAUUCUCUCUAUGAUGGGUAAAUUGCGUCAGGUCCCAAGUCUCUAACCUUUGCAUUCCAUUACAAUUUUAUAUUUUCACUGUAUUUCUUGUCAAAUUGUAUGGAAAAACCCACAUAAAAGCCACAUGUAAAGUCUGAAAAUCGACUACGUAGCAAUUAGAUUAUGAUGAUUCCAUGAAUCUUUCUGUCAAAUUUGCCGGAGAAAUCUCAUGGAAACUCUAUUAUUGCAACAAAAAACAAUGUCAAGGACACAAUUGUAACAAUCUAGAGGGUUGGUUCCGAAAGGAAACUACACAACAAGGUUGAGGACCUGCGGUGCAAUUUAGCCCUCUGAAGUGGAGAAAUGUAUGCUAACUUCCUGAAACUUGUAAACAUUCCUUCUUGCAGGAUCAAACGCGCGCCCUCGACAUGAUCCAGAACGAUCCCGAGCUUAUGGGCUUAAAGCGAAUCCAAGCACCGCUUGUCGAUGUCGAGAUCAGAGGUGUUCCGGCGCUCAGAUUUUUGGGCGAGAUUAUAUGGAAGUAGCCAUCUAGUAACGGUCGAAGCGCCACAAGAUUCAUACGACGGCUCAUCCGACGAUCUCGCUCUCUCGAAUGAUACCUCAUACGCCGUCAACUUCAUAAUACACGCCGCGAGUAAUUUGCUGUUUAUUUCGAAAGCACAAGAGCAGGGCUGCCAUGCUGAGACUAGUACAUGUUGCGAACGGUAAAACUGUUGACAGGCACACGAAAAUUAGAGCAAAUUUUCUCUUGAUGUCUUUCUUAUAUAAAAGACAAGAUAAUUUUGGUACUGAGGUUUUUUAUAUUUGUAUCUUUGAGUUGAUUUUUAUUUUCCUAUUUGAAAAUCAAUUACUUCUUAUUGUACUUAUCUGCAUAAUCAUAUAUUCAUAUAAUGUAAAGCAGUUAAUAGUACAAAUUAAAUUGGAGUUUCUGGGCCUUUUUUUUUUUUUUUUUCCAAAUAGAUGGCAAGGCCAUUUUUGAGCCUUGUAUGGUAUUUAUAGUAAAUAUUAGGUGAAUAGUACCACGUAUGUUGCAAUAUAAAAAUUGAAUACAUGUGAUUCAUAUGUUUUUAAUAAAAUUGGUUUAAAUUAGACAAUCGAUUCAUAGCGUCCUCUAUGGUUUCAAAGGCGAUUGCGAAUUUUAAAAAAAAAAACAAAUUGGUAUUUUUUAAAAAUUAUAUAUAUUUUAAAUAUUUUUACAUUCAACUUGUUACCAAUAAAGGAAUUUGGAAUCUAAAUAAGAAUAUUCCAAAACGACCAAUCACACACUCACGCGACGCACGUGGGCGUAAACGACGGAGUCGUACUCCUCCGAAGAUGUGGUAUAACACGUAAUCUAGAGAAAUCGCGGCCGUCCAUCUCCAUCGCCAAUCCAACGGCCAAGAAUGCUCUUCUCGAGGUGGGCCCCGCUGAACUAAAGGGUCGUAAAAAGGAGGAAUUCUACACUGUCACACUUGCACCACGUCAUCAAUAACAAGCCAAUCACAAUCCUUCUUUUCAAAUAAAAGUACAAUAAAAAUAUUUUUUUACAAUCAUAAUGGGACAUAUAUUCUUAAAAUGAUUAAUUUGAUUGGUUUGUUACGCCACGUCACUAAUAUACCCGUUGCAUUCUAGAAUUUUUCCGUAAAAAGGCUUCUCCCGAAAAGGACUCCAUCGGCCCACAGCGAAUCCAUCACCAAAAAAAUUAAAAGAAAAAGGCAAAAAAAAAAAAAGAAAAAAGAAAAAUAAAAUACAAAAAAUAAAAAAUAAAAGUUAAAAACCAUUUGGUGGAACAAUCUCCCCCGUGAGAUCAAUUGGCGACAAUUAAUUUUUAGAUUCGUAUCGUCCACGUGACGGAUCUAAAUACUAAAUUUUGACUGCUACAUCUUUCAAAUUGUGGCAAAUAAUUUAACACGUCUCUCUCUUCCAGCAAAGUUGGUCUAUUUCGAUCGGAUGUUUUGAACAUAAUUUAAUAUAAUUUUAAAUGUUAAAAUAAUUAUAUAUAUAGUUGAGAUAAAAUAUUAUCGAUAGCAAAACGGUUCCGCCGUCACCUAUUUAUUUUCGACGAUGGAGCCUUCAAAUCGACGAUCAGUAUCGUUGAAUAUGAUUUAUAUUACUUGAAAUAUUUAGAAAUUAAAUUUUAAAUUUUUUUUGACAUUAUUGACCCAAUGAUCAGAGGGUUUCAAAAUUUACAAUUUUAAUGGUCGAUAUGAGGUAUUUUCUCGUCUAACGGUGUAAAGAUAUCCAAAUUGAUUGAAUAUUAGUUAGAAAAUUCUUUAAACUAUUUAGAACAAGAUCUAUAUAUUCGAUUUUGAUUACAAGAUUCUUAUUAUCACUUUUUAAAAAAUAUUCAUUUUCAGCUGUUCAUUUUAUGUUCACUUGAUGGACAAGAGAACAAUACCAGAAAAGUAUGAAAUUUGGUUUCUACAUAUUUCAAAUGGUAUAGAUCAUAUUCAACGGUGCUGAUCGUCGAUUUGGAGGCUUCAUCAUUGAAAAUAAAUGGGUGGCAACAGAACCUGUUUGCUACCGAUAGCAUUUCAACUCAACUAUAUAUAUAUAUAUAUAUAUAUAUAUAUAAUUGAGCUAGAAUACUUUUAAAAAUAUCACCCCAUUGGUGCUUUUAGGUUUCUAGCGCUUGGAUCUACUCCUUGAUUACUAGUAGCCGAUAUAUAUAUAUAUAUAUAUAUAUAUAUAAUUGAGCUAGAAUAUUUUUAAAAGUAUCACCCCAUUGGUGCUUUUAGGUUUCUAGUCCUUGGAUCUACUCCUUGAUUACUAAUAACCAUUGGAUCAAACACUAUUCCACCUACCACCACCUACACCACCUACCACCAUCAUCACAACCUUACAUUUCUCUAUCCAAUGGUUAAAAAACUCAAAAGCACCACCUCAUUGGUGUUUUUGAGAGNACUAUCGGUAGUAAAUUUCUCGAUUUACUACCGAUUUAUUUUUGAUGAUAGAGCUUCCAAAUCGACGAUCGGUAUCAUUAGAUAUAAUCUAGACCAUUUAAAUUAUCUAGAAAUCAAAUUUCAUGAUUUUUUGGCAUCACUAAUUGAACGAUCAAAGGGUCACAAAAUCUAUAAUUUUAAUGGCCGAUAUGGUGCAUUUACUCGUUUAACGGUACAGAAGAGUUCAAAUCAACUAAAUUUUUGUUAAAAUUUUUUUUAAACUAUUUAAAAUAAGAUCUAGACUCUAGAUCUCAAAUAUAAAAAUUGUAUAACUUUUUGAAGGAUAUUUAUUUCUAGUCAUUCAUUUUUCUGUUCACUUGAUGGACAAGAGAACACUAUCGAAAAUGUGUGAAAUUUGAUUUUCAGAUAGUUUAAAUAGUUUAGAUCAUGUUUAACGGUGCCGAUCAUCAAUUUGAAAGCUCUAUCAUCGAAGACAAAUCGGUAGUAAACCAAGCCGUUUAUUACCGAUAGUAUUCUAGCAAAACUCUAUAUACACGAACGUGCGAGAUAGACAUGAUAAUUUAAUUUUAGGAUUGAAAAAUAAGAUAAAUAUAUUAAACUAUUUUUUUUUGCUAGACAUUUUUACCUAAUAGGUCUGUUAAACUAUUUUAUUGUCAAAACUUAAAAGUUUAGGGAUCUAUCCGUCACAGUUGGUAAAGGUGAGGGGGUCAUUGUAAAAUUUUCCCAAUAUGAAGCACAGGGGAGAGGGUCGGCGCUUUAUUUCUCCCUUCUCGACAUUUCCUUCGCAUUACAAGACAAGUUGAGAGAGAGAGAGAGAGAGAGGCGUUUGCGAGAGAUCUAUUGCUGCGGCAUUUUUAGGUAUUCCCCGACACUUUUUUGUAAAAAUUUCUACCCAACAUCUUCUGUUUUGGCAAAAAAUUCGACCUUUUUCGGUUUCUUCCUAUUUCGAUUUCGUUGUGGGUGGUGAUUUUUAGCUCGUGGUGAGCUCCAAAUUUUGCUCGCGUAGUUUUGGAUGGAUAUUACUAGGUUUUGAUCAGUUUUGCCCCCAUUUUUGGCGCACUUGGUCUGAAGAUGUUGCUUUAGUGGGUCAAAAUUUGAUCUUUCGUGUGGAUUUAUGUCAAUUUUGUUUGAGUUGUUCAUGUUCAGAUCUAGCUUUGUCGGAUUUGCGUAAUAUCUAAUGCUUUUGUGUUUUUGUUGCUGAUGAAUUAAUUAUCAGUGUGAUAAGAAGCUCAAAAUCUGAUUUUUUUUUUUUUUUUUUUUACACAAUCAUGAAAUCAUUAGAUCUAGAUUUGAGUAUGUUGGUUGAUUUAAGUGUAGAUUUGUUAUCCAAGCAAUCUUGUUUUAAGAUCCUCGGCGCGGCUUCAACAGUAGCUUCUCUACUCUGAAGAACAAAAUGAAAAAAAAAAAGAAGAGGGAUCUUUUUCCGAGCUCUAAUUUGGAAGCUGUUGAGAUAAAGCUGUUACUGCUUUCCGCAGAAGCAAAUUGCUUUUUACAUCUUUGCAAUUGCUGCUUCUCUUCACUUUUAUAGAAAUUCGCAUAAACAAAGGAUGCAUGUGUUUCCCUGCCAUAAAUUGUUUUUCAGAAGCUCUUAGAUCUGCGCUGAAUUCGAUAUAUGCUUUGCUCGCAAACUAUAAUUCAUAAUUUACUUCUGGAAGUGGUGCUCGGCAAUGCAAGUUUCCACUUUAUUUGUUAAACCGAAGAUUAUGGCUGUCGAAUACCAGUAAUUUCUGGCUAAUAAAGACGUAUUUACGAGUGUCCAUCAUCUCGCAGUUAGUAUCUUAUUGUGUAAACAAACACUUUAUUCCCCAUGAUUUGCGGUUGGCUAAUGAAUCCUAUUCCUCCGACUUUACUGGGGUGUUUGGUUGUUCCUUGGUUAAUUGUGGAAAACGGUUUCCCCGAAAAAACAAGUGUUCUAUGAAAAACACUCUUUCUACAGUUUUCGUUUUCCCGAAAAAAAUCCGGAAAACAAACAGAAGACUUUUUCAUGAAAUCUGAAUAUAUAUAUAUGUUUGGGGGAGACUACUUUUCCUUUUCCAGCUAGAGAACUGGUUUUUUUUUUUUUUUUUUUUUUUUUCUGGUGGAGUUGGUUAAUCAAAUCUAUUCCUUUAUUCUUCUCGGUUUUAGGUUUAUGCGAGCAUAUGUAUAUCCAUAGUUCUCUUUGCAAUAGUUUAUGCCACCUGUCAAGCUACUCAAUCUACUCAAUGUAAUCAUUCUUUAUUAUUCUAUCUUUAACACUAAACGCGCAUAUAAAAAUAUUUUGAGCACCCAUAUAAUUCUUGUGCUGUAUUUCAUUCUUGUUUUUUUGUCAAGAGAGAGGCUGAUAUUAAUGCGCUUGUCAAGUUGAUCUUUUGAUCUGUUUGGUAGAGUAUUUUAAUAUAUCUGCUUGUUUUGAGGGUCGGAACUUUUCCCGCGAGUGGCUUUACUAUGGAGCUUACAUUCGUAACAUGCCUUUGGUUCCACAACUGCUUACAAUUAGUGUUUUUUUUUAUGUUAACUCUUAACUCCUUUGUAUAAUUUGUGAUCUUAUAUUAUCCUUUAUUGAAUUGCAUUCCACAGGGUGCGAUGUCAUCCGCAGCAGUUUCAACCGUCGCCAUCAGCUCAUUUGGUGCUCAAGCUGGUUUGGCUACAAAAUCCAAACCGCCGGGCUUAACUUUUAGUACCCGAAAAUCCUUCAAGAGUUUCAGCGGCCUGAGAUCCUCAUCAUCAAUUACCGUCGAAUCAGAGCCAUCCUUUCUAGGUGUAGAAACCAGUGCCGCUCUCCACGCGUCAUUCACCCCAAAAAUUGGGCCAAAAAUUAGGCCUUCAAAUCGACUCAACCCUCAAGCAUCGGCAUUUAAGGUUGCCGUCCUCGGCGCUGCUGGCGGAAUCGGUCAGCCUCUGGGUCUUCUGAUCAAAAUGUCGCCUUUAGUUUCUCACUUGCAUCUCUACGAUGUCGCCAAUGUGAAGGGAGUCGCGGCCGAUCUGAGCCACUGCAAUACCCCCUCUCUGGUGCGCGACUUCAGUGGCCAAUCUGAAAUAGCUGAUUGCUUGAGAGGAGUGGAUUUGGUUGUGAUCCCUGCUGGCGUACCGCGAAAGCCCGGCAUGACCCGCGACGACCUGUUCAACAUCAACGCGGGCAUCGUGAAAACCCUAGCGGAGGCUGUUGCGGACAAUUGCCCCGAUGCCCUAAUCCACAUCAUUAGCAACCCAGUCAAUUCGACCAUGCCGAUCGCUGCAGAGGUGCUGAAGCAGAAGGGCGUGUAUGAUCCCAAGAAGCUCUUUGGUGUUACAACCCUAGAUGUCGUUAGGGCUAAUACAUUCGUCGCGCAGAGGAAGAAUCUGAAGCUGAUUGAUGUGGAUGUACCGGUCGUCGGUGGCCAUGCUGGAAUUACUAUCCUGCCCUUGUUAUCUAGGACGAGACCGUCAGUGACUUUUGCGGAUCACGAAAUUGAGCAGCUGACGGUGAGGAUACAAAACGCGGGAACGGAGGUUGUGGAAGCGAAAGACGGCGGGGGAUCAGCGACACUGUCGAUGGCCUACGCUUCUGCGAGAUUUGUCGAGUCGUCUCUUAGAGCACUCGACGGAGAUGAGGAUGUUUAUGAAUGCUCAUUCAUUCAGUCCGAGCUUAUUCCCGACUUGCCCUUCUUUGCAUCGAGAGUCAAGCUCGGGAGGAAAGGGGUAGAGGCCGUGAUUUCGGCAGAUCUCCAGGGGCUGACGGAGUACGAAUCGAAAGCGCUCGAGGCGUUGAAGCCCGAGCUGAAGGCGAGCAUAGAGAAGGGCGUGGCUUUCGCGCAGAAGCAGAACGCGGCAGCUGCUUCCGUCUGAGAGAGAUAAAAGGAAAGGGGCUUCCUCCUAUCUUCUGAAAGAUCAUCUGAUAUAGAAUAAACGAUCGUUUCCAGUUUUGCAGCGUAGAAAAGAACUUUUCUUUCUUGCUUUCGCGGAAGAGUAUGGAGUAAUACAAACAUUGUUUUAUGCAGGCUUUGAAUGCAUAAAUUGUUGUACUCUUGUUGUUCCAAUUUGAAGUUGCUUUAGUCCAAACAAAUUAAUCCGAGUGCUAUUAAAGCUGUGUUUAUGCAGCAUGAGAGAAAACUUUUUCCAUGGCAUAUGAGUCUGAUUCAAAUUGUUUGGAUCGCCGCAUUAGUAUUUAACUGUUGCAGUUGUAACUGUAAGAGUUGCAGAUGCUGCUAAUGGACCUGCAUCUGCAAUUCUCAUUGCAGCGGUUAUAUAUAUAUAUAAUUGAGCUCCUAUGCUAUUAGAAGUAUCAAGUCAUUAGUACUUAUAGAUUUUCGGCCCUUGAAUUAAAGGAUGCUCAGUUAAGAUGAUAGUGAUUCUUUAGGGUUGAGUAGGUGGGUGGUUGGUUAAAUAGUAUGAUUUAAUGGGUGAAAAUGGUAAAAAAGGUAAAAAAAUUGUAAAUACCAAGUGCAACUUCACCUUUUUAUUAUGUUAAAAAUGAAAAUGUUUUGUUUUGGUUUUUUUUUUUUUUGAGAGAGAUAGGUAGCACGCUAUCCGCGUCGUUUAUUACAUUUAGAAAUAAACUUAACUUAGCUGGAAAUGUGAAUCAACUAGGAUUCGAACUUGGGACCUCGGGUACCAACCACCAAGCCCUUUACCACCACUUGCUCUAGGGACAGUCGGUGAUGAAAAUGUUUUGUUGGAUGUUAUUAUUUUGUGUGUCGUAACGGGCCGGAGGAGGGCCCAAUAGAUUCGGGUUUGCGGGCUCAGGCCCGUGUUUGAAGAAUAAAGGCUUGGGCCCGACUCAGGCUCUUGCUAUGAAAUUGCGAUGCGGACAAAUAAUUUGUUAGAUUUUCAUGAAAAUGCGAUGUGGACAAAUGAGGACAUGAACCCACUUGGGGUUGUACAUCUUACAACCCACUUAUCUAAAGGCUGAAAAAAUUAUGCUUUUGAAAAAAAAUAAAAAAAAAUGUGUAGUGCCUAAAUAUCAGCCAUCGGAUCCCAAAGGUGUAGGAUGUACACCUUCAACCGGGAGUCUAUCUAGACUUUUCCAUUUCAAUAUCAUAAGAUAAAAAGGUUGGGGACCAAUGGCGCAGUUAACCUAAAUAAGUUAAGAGAAUUUCAAUAUCAUAGUACCCCAAAUGAUUAGAAAUGGACAAAGAUAAUUGAUUGAAUAGUUCUGGAGAAUGCACUAGUAGAUCAUGGCUGUUAAAAGCUUGGACAAGUGAUGAGGGUGCACUUUGAUUAUUUGGAGGAGUAAGGGCAAAUAAAUAUAUUAUUCCAAAAAAAAAUGUGUAGUUUUUUUAUUCUUUUUAUUUCAUUUUUGUUCAUUUUCUACCUCUUUUUUCAUUAUCACGCUCCCUCCCUAUCUCUUUGCCGGAGUUGUGGCUCCGGCUCCAAUGUGCUCUCUCUUUCCGUCGUCCUCAAGUUUUAAAGCACUCUCGUCAUCGUUGUCGUGGUCCACAAUCACGCUCCGCCGGAGCCUCACCUCCGCAAUUUGUGUCAUAUCUGAGUCAGUAUUGCUGAAGGUGUGGGCGAGAUAAAAGAGCGGAGCGUGAAGUCGACGUGGGAACGAGAGAGGUGGAGUAGAAGGAAGAGGAAGCGGGAGGAGAAAGAGAAAGAAACAAUGAGGAGGAAAAAAACGUACAACAAAAAAAAAGAAGAGAGUGAGAAUAAUAAAAAUAUUUGGAUAAUUUUAUUAAAAAUUCAAACUCAAAAUUCAAAAUAAUGAUUUAUUUUUGUAAAAAAAAUAAAAUCAAUAGAUUUCGUAUGCAAAAAAAAGAAGCUAUUAUUAGCUGAUAAUUAAUGUAACUCUCCACUAAACAUAAAGUAGUGAUUAUGGUCCUAUUUGUUGGCUUAAAUGGGACAGCAUCAUGUCCUGUGGCGGGAGGUUAUGUGGGCCGAGUCAUGUUCGAAAUGGCGUGAGGCUGGGUUGGGCCGAGUCAUGUUCGAAGUGGCGUGAGGUCAGAUUGGCCGGCGUUGUUUCUGUACGCUUUAAGUGAAUUGGUUGCGUAUUUCUAACAGCUCGAGCUUUUGGGAUUAAUGGUUAGCGCCAACGAUCCGACACUAUUUGGCCUAACUUUCUAGAAGUGAUUUUGGGUUCAGAAGUACUUUUUGGCUUAAUAGAGCGUUUGGCAUAAGAGUUGAAAAUUCUGAUUUUGUUUUUCAGAAUUAGAAAAUUAAUUUUUCAAUUUCAAAGUAGAAAAAAGCUGCUUCUUCAAAACUGAUUCCCACAAAAAAAAUUUCUCACUUAAAUUUUUUUUAUAAAAUACCGAAAUUACCACUUAACAAACAAUACAAUUCUACUCUACCAUAUAUAUAUAUAGAGAGAGAGAGAGAGAGAGAGAGAGAGAGAGAGAGAGAGAGAGUUGGGCUAGAAUACUAUUAAUAGUGUUUAUUCUCUUUUGCUCUCAAGUUUUUAGAGUCUUGCCAUAAUGGAUAAAUUGUUAUCCUAUUGGAUAUUUAUCAUUACAGUCGGGCCUGGAUUGUGGCUUGUAAAAGCACUAAGUAUUUGGUGUUUGUAACUUUUCUACCGUUAGAUUUAUCGCUUUGAUCAUUUCCAUCCAUUCAACCAACUGCCAUUCAAUACUAGGGGAUCACUAUCAUUCUAACCGCACAUCUCUUAAUCCAAGAAUUACAAACCUAUAAGCACCAAUGACUUUGUAUUUUUAAAAGUAUAGGAGCUCAAGUAUUUCUUAUUAUGCAUUUUUGUUAUAUUAAAUAGUUAUCGACAACUUAAGAUAUUGACAUGUAACAUUAAUUUGUUUUAAAAAUGACUAAUGUUAAACAGCAUUACAAAAUUACUUCAGCAAAAAAUUUGCCACCAGCUUUCUAAAAUCACUACAGCAAAAUUACUUUUUUUUAUAAGAUUUAGCCAAAUAUUCUAUAACUUUUAACAGAAAUUAUUUUUUCAAAUCAAAAUUAAUUCUGUAAAAAUUAUUUUUUUUAGAAUUUAGGCCAAAUGGGCGCUAUGAAAGGUUAACUUGUUGUAAGGAGCCUUACAUGCAUGCAACUUCAAAUGAAAGCAAAAUAAAAAAGAAAGAAAAAAAAAAUGUGGCUGCUGCAUUGGGAGACCAAAUCAUUGAAAACAAAAAGAAUAGUGUUUGGAGAUUUGGACGUGGAAUCAAUCGCACAGCUGGAAAACAAUGUGUUUGGAUUUGGUAAGACAUUCUCUUUCCUUUUUAUUUUUAUUUUUUUUAAGUUGGGUUUUGAUAGGUAUUAAUUAUUUAAUUGGGACAAAUUUGUGGGGAGAAACAUGUGGAGGAAAAAAUAUUUAAAGUAGAGAAAUGAAAAGCAAUGGAGGAGCUAUCAAAGUCGAUAUUCACGUGUUGUUUUGGAGUCUAAUACAAAAAAAAAAAAUAAUAAUAAAAAAUACAAGAAUUAAAUUAAAGCUUUUAUUUUUAGGGACUGUUUAAUUGGAUGUAGUUGUAAAAAUAGUGUAGUUGAAAGUACAUGCAGUUGUAAAUGCUGCAGUUAUAACUACACCAAGUCUGUUUGGUUUUAUAUUGUUGCAACUGCUGUAGCUAUAUUUUUUCUGUUUGGUAGUCUGCAGUUGAGAUUUGUAUUUGUAAAUUCUGUCAAUUUUUAGAUAGAAAUGUGAAAUUACCUCUUAUGAGCAUAACGUAAUUAUAUUUUAAUUAUUAAUUAAAAUUUUUAUAUUUAUAUAUAAUUUAUAUAUUAUAAAAUUAUAUAUGAUUUAAUAAAUUUUAAAUGUAAAUAUAUUAUAAAUUUGGUCAAAAAAAAAUUUAGAUAUUAUUAAAAUAGCAAACUGAAAAAUAAGAAACGUAUGAAAAAAUUUAUUAAAUCAUAUAUAAUUNAAGCGUAUGAAAAAAAAUCACACUUUGUUUAUUUUUUUAAUGGGUGGGCCGACUCCGGCUCAACUGCUGCAGUUGGUACUGCAGCCAAUUUGGCUGCAGCACCAACUGCUACAGUUGGGCCUUCUUGUGCAGAUGGAACUACAGUAGUCGGGCUUAAUAACUGCACCAAACAAAACAAAAAAUUAAUAGAUGCAUACAUUCUCAAUUAAAAUGCAGUGGAAUAUACAUGCAACCAAACAGCCCCCUUAGAGAGUUUAGGAUUUUAUCUUAAGUCAUCGCAAGUCUACAAAUAAAACAAAAGAGGCGGCAAAACAUGAUACGAUGGUAGGGCCCCUAAACAUUUUUUUCUUUUUCAUGCAGGAAUCUAAUUCAUGAUCUCCUCUAAUAUCACUUGUUUGAUUGUUGGUGCUUAUUAAAAUUUUAAAAGUUUAAGUUGUUAAAAAGAUAAUAACUAUUAUCAUAAAGUAUACAGACACAGUAUUUAUGAGUCUCGAUUGUAAUUUGACCUAACACAGUUUUUGCCAUACAGGCAGAAUACAUCUAUACCCAAAUAUUACUCAAUAAUAAUUGGUUUGUUGUGUGGAGUAAUUUGAAUAAUAUAUGUCAUGCAUAAUUUAUUCCUUGUGAAAUAAAAAUUAAAAAUUUUUACCUCAUGUAAAAUUUAAAAUAAAUCAAAAUGCAUAAAUGUGGUAGAAAUUAACAAUACCACGUAUUAGUAGUUGCAUUAAUUAUUAUUUUAAAGUAUAGUAAAAAUAUCUCGUGAUCGAAAUGCGUUAUUCCGAAAAGUCGAAACUAAUAAUAUUUUAGUAACUCAGAAUUGAAGUUUUGGCUUAUAAUUAUAAAGGAAAAUCAUCGAUCAUAUAUUGUGACCAUACGAGCUCAAAUUAAACUUACGACGCAUCUAAUUAAUAUUGCUACGUCAAAUCUGAAUGCCAAAUUUGUGAUUAUGUUAAUGGUAAAAGAUACUUACACAAUUAACUAGCACAUAAUAUAAAUAAUUUUUUUUUCUCCUCAUAGAACCAAAAAUAUAAACCCUAAAUAUGCAAAUGACCACGUAGGAUGAAGUCAAUAAUGGGCAAGCAAAAUAACCAGCAAUUCCAAAUAUAUUUGGUCUCCUUUAAGAAAUAGUUUUUUUUGAACUUUUGUGUCUUUGUAUUAAAAUGGGAUCUAAUCAAUCGUAAAUACAAUGGGAUCUAAUCAAUCGUGGGACAUUGAAAGCUCCCCCAAUCAAAUUAGAAUCAAUAAUUGAACCAACAUCUACUAACGUUGGUGGAUGAUCUGGCGCGAAAGAAAUAAUGUUAUUUUUAGAAAUUUAUCUACUAACGCUAUUGCUACUGCCCAACAUAUUGGAAAACUGGCAACGGAGUGGACUGAGUUUUGUCAAGCUCGGUGAUAUCUCUAUAUUUUGGGUACUCGAUUUGACGCUGUAAUUAUUUUUUAACCUAUUUAUUACUGUCCUUGUACCUUUUUUUAGACAUUUUUUCUUUUAUAUGUAUAGUUAAAUGGGUGAAUAUUUGAAUACCUCAUUCUAUAUAGUUAAAUUUAUUAUCUGAAUGAAUGAAGCAGGUGGCGUGCUACUUUUUUUCUCAAAAAAAUAAUUGAACCUAUAUUGUGAUCCAUCACAUCACCCCAUGAGCCACAUCACAUAAAAUGACAAGUACAUUUAAACAUGCAGGUUCUCUUCCUUAUUAAUUAGGAUACAUUAAUUUUGUUUUCACUCAAAAUUUGGACAUAAUGCCAAUUUGUUUCUUCUACUUUUGAUAUUUUAUAAGGUAAAAUAAUAUGCCAAUCUAAUAUGGACUUUGGGUCACUUAGAUUAGACUAUCUAAUCAUAAAUUUUUACUGUCUAAUUUUUCAACCAUUUUCAUUUCAUAAAUUUUCCAUACAUUCAUGCCGAACGUCGUCAACCAAUGUGUAUUAAUCUAUUUGAAAAAAGAGAGAGUAGAAUCCAAUGAUUUACAGCAUUUUUUGUUCUAGAACUGAAUUGCGAACACAGAAAUUGUACAGACACAGAAAUUGUAUUUCAAAGUCUAAAUUGAACGUUCUGAAAAAAUAGUUAGUAAAGUCAAAAUUUACGAAGAUUCAAGAGUCGUUUCUAAAUUAACGAUCGACGGUUCAGAUAAAUUUCAUGCAUUUUUGCCUUCUUAAUUAUAGUUAUAAUUUUUUCGAAAAUAGUUUGAUAACUGUACUAGGUGUGUCUCAUUGUUGGCAUUUACAAGUACAAAAUUGAAUGCCAACUCAGCAGCCAUGUGAGAUGAAGGACAUGUUUAGAUCCAUGGCCACAUUCUCAACAUAUCUAUUUAAUUACCUUUUUACAAAGCUUGUACUAUACUAGAAAGGAAAUAUAAUAUUCAGAAUUCAAAUUAUUUAUUUUGGAAAUAAGAUAAAGUAUUUAAAACUUAUAGAUUAAAUAAAUACCAAACAAUGGAUUACUUCCAAGGAGCAAACACAAAACCUUUUAGGUUUCAAUAAAUAAAACAGAAAACUAAGUUGUUACUGGACAAAAAAUAAUUAACCAACGUAGAGAUCACCUACUUUGUACCAGAUAUGCCACAUUAUUUAUCCCAGGAAUUUUUUUACUAUGUUCAUAUGAGAAUAAUCUCCAAACGAUCCAAAGUUCAGAUGAGUUGUGCGCAUUUUUGCCUUCUUAAUAUUAUAAUGCUAUUUUAUAUCUUUUCAAAAAUAGUUUAAUGAGUGUACUAGUUAAGUCCAUUCAAUAUUACUGGCCCUGUAAAAGUACCUAAUUAGAUGCCAACUCAGUAGCCAUGUGAGACCUUUUAAACAUGUGUCAUUAAUCAUCUUAGAAAGCUUAAUCAUCUUAGAAAGCUUAUAGUACAAGGUAAAUGACAAGUGGGCAUUAAGUGUAUCAAUUAAUUUUUGGGUAAACUUUAAAUAUCAUUCAUGUAAUUUCGCGCUUUCUCACUUGAGUACAUUAUGGUUUAAAGUGUAUGAAUUUAGUAUCUUGUGGUUUCAUUUUUCUCUUUUCGUCAGCUCAUCCGUUAACAUUUCGUUAAAUUAUAUGCAAAACACUUUAGAUAUCCUAUCUAGAUUUAUCGAAUUUUCACUUUAGUAUCUUUUAGUUUUAACUUUGUCACUAAUUUAAUAAAAAAAAAUUAGUGGAGGGGAUAAUAAAAAAAAGAAAAAUAAAACUACGGAUCUACUAAAUUGAUACACUUUAAACCACAGAGUACUAAAAAAAAGUGUGAAACUAUAGGAGUGGUAUUCAACUUGUGUGGCUUAAAUAUUCAACCAAAUGGUAUUCACUUCGAAGUUUUUUUUAAAAUUAUUUUAUACUUGUGUGGCUUAAAUAUUCAACCAAACAAGUGCCACAUGUAGUACUGUAGUGUAUCCCAAAGAUCUCUUAUUAUAUAUGUUUUUUGAGAUAAGAAGUUAAGAACCACUAGACUACUCCAACUACUCACUGAGAGGUUGGAGAUUUGAUCCUUGGAUAGAGUGUUUAUUAGUAGUGCCCUCAAAUUCCCUCAUUCUAGGAGAAAGGUGCUAUGAUUGCACUUAUGCUGUUUGUCGGAUCAAUGGUAUUGAUUAUUAAUUUUAAAAACUCGAAUGGUUAAAAAUAUACAAUAAUUUAUUUAAAUCGUACAGAUACAUCGUUGAGGAAUCUCGAUUGUGACUCGACCUAAUCAGCCUCUUGCCAAUUCAAAAUAGCUCGGCCUAACUUGACUUUCCGUUAUUUUGAAUGUGAUUCGAUCUAAUCUAUUCUUCCGCCACAAGACAGGAUGCUGACCCCCUUAAGUUAACACUGGUUUUUACAAUGAAAGCUUUUCUUUUUUAAAAAUAAUUAGCGAGCUAUCUAUUUUGUUUAAUUUUUAGAAAUGAACUCAUCCCGAAAUGUAAAGCAAUUAGAGCCCAAAAGCUACACAACUUGCCAUUAUCAACAGUAUUGUAGCAACUCGAAAGGAGGUUUUAGAAAUGAAUUCGGCUAGAAAUGUGAAGCAGCUAAAAAUAUGAAGCUUUGAAAAACAAAAACUAAAAAAAUUAAUAUUUUAAUAAUUUAUAUUCAACUCUCUUUUAUAUGUAUAAUUAAAUGGGCGAAUAUUAAAUGGGAAACUAGCUUGGAGAUUUGAGCCUCAAAACCUCAUACAACUCAAACACCAUAUAAAAAAUAAUAGAAAAACUUCAAAUACUACGUCUGUGGUUUCGCACUUUCUCAUUUUAAUAUCUUGUGGUUUAAAGUGUAUCAAUUUAAUGCCCUAUGGUUUCAUUUUUCUCUAUUUAUUAUCAAUUCCACUAAUUUUUUUCUUAAAUCAUUGACAAAGUUAAAAUUAAAGAGUACUAAAGUGAAUAUUCGAUAAAUCUAGGUAGGGUAUCUAAAGUUUUUCGUAUUUAAUUUAACGAAAUAUUAAGAAGAAGCUGACGAAAAGAAAAAAAGGAAACUACAGGGUACUAAAUUGAUACACUAUAAGCCACAGAAUACUAAAGUGAGAAAGUGCGAAACCAUAGAAAUGGUAUUUGAAGUUUAUCCAAAAAUAAUUGAUGUGAUCAAAAUCACUCCCCAUCUAACUGAGAAAACAAUGCGUGGUUCACAACAUCCCUCGUGAACCACACUACAUAAAAUGACAAGUACCUUUCAUAGUCCAUAACAACGUUGGUGAACCACACUACAUAAAAUGACAAGUGCCUUUCAUGGUCCGUAACAUCACUCGUGAACCACACUACAUAAAAUGACAAAACACCAUCCCAAUAAAACAUAAAUACUCUUCUCACUAGGAUCAUUUAAAUUUGCAUAAAAAUGCCAAAUUUUCAAUUCUUGCUACUGUAAAGCGAUAAUGUUGGAAGUGUGGUUUGCUCUGAUACCACUUGUUGGAACAAGAGGAGUAUUGCAACGAAUUAAACUAAAAAUUUUAUAAAAUAUUUUUGGACUAAAUAUCGAUGAUGAAUUAUUUUUCACACAUUUACAGCAGUCUACAUAUUGGCAUAAAUCAAAAUCCUUAUAGUGAUAAUUGAACAAGAUUUAAAUUUAUCUCUAAUAUCUAACCAACAAAAUAUUGGGUUACUUAUCAACAGAUAAGUGUAUCGAAAUUUGAGUCCAUUCGUUUAUGGGUAAAUACCAACUCAACCAAAUUGCAGUUUAAGGACUUUGAAAUAUCAAAUUUCUAGCUAUGCAUAUAGAUCAGAUAGAAAAUAAUUUAACUGAUAAAAGAGGAACAAAAAUAAUAGAAAACAUAAGUUUAUGCCAUUAAAUGGGAGACACAUGGAUCUGAACUCAAAAACUAUUUGAAAUUGAGGUCGUUUGAUAACAUGCACCAACUUCAAUAUCAUUUUUAUUUAAAAAAUCAAUCUAAUUAGAAACAAUGUAGAAAUGCCCUCGACGAACAUGAUGUGACCUCAUCAAUGCAAAAUUAAACAGUACGUCACGAUACAAUACGAAAUGACGACAGGAAAUGAUGACAGGAAUAGAAUUACCUAUAUAGACCCUGACGUCCUCGUCAGACAUCAAGAUUAGAAUUAUCAAGGCGAUAUGAAAUUAUAGAAGUGGGUCCUAUGAGUUCAAGAGAUUGCUCCCACCAAAUUCGUUGACGGAGCACUUAGCCCAGCAUAGCACUUAGCUCCGUCCUCGUCAAAUCCAAACUUAGACAGACACCAGGACUAAAAUUAGCAGGCGAUGUGAGAUUAUAAAAGUGGGUCCUCCUCGUCAGAUCCAAACUUAGACAGACACCAGGACUAGAAUUACAAAGCGAUGUGAGAUUAUAAAAGUGAGUCCUCCUCGUCAGAUCCAAACUUAGACAGAAACCAGGACUAGAAUUAUCAGGUGAUAUGAGAUUAUAGAAGUGGGUCCUAUGGGUUAAGAGGUGUCAAAUGUAACAAUCCGACCCGCUAACAAUAAUAAUCCGUUAGGUCCAAACAACUGGCCCGAAAUAUUUAAAUUCAAUUAUUAUAACUAAUAUGCGAGAUCUUAUAUAAACUGAUCGAAAUCAGCAUCCUAUCCGACGUGAAACUAUUGGGAUGUUACAUUACACUCCGUUCACAAAAUAUGUACAUAUAUAUAGUCAAACAUCGAGUGAACCCAAAUUAGAGGAGAUCCAUAUUAUUCUCUACGCACACCAUGUGAAAACGCUGCCUCCCAUCCACUUUUCUCUCUCUCCACUAUUGUAUACUUUUACCGAAGUUAUUAAUUCUCUUAACAAAAAUAUAUAAUAAUACUAUAUUACCAAAGUGGCCCCAAACAUUUCCACUAUGUUUACUUGCCCUAGUUAAAUUAGUUCUCUUUCUUAUAUGCCACUACUGUCACUAUGAAUGAUGUUCACAACUUUGUCCCCCAUCUCCCCCUUCUUCUUUCUCCUCUUCCUCCUCUGAGAGUAUGGUGCAGCUAUAUAUAUAUAUAUAAGAAGCUCGCACGGAAAAAGCAGAAGCAGUAGAGAAGCUGUUUUAGAAAGCUUAAUAUAUUGUUUCGAGAGAGAUCGAUUAAUUAGUUAAGAGUAUAUGGAACCCAUUGUGGUCUCACUAAUCAAAACAGGUACAUCUUUCAUAUGUCAUUUCAUUCGGUGUCAGAGUUGAGCUAUAUAUAUAUAGUGCAUUUGUUUCUCCCAAUGCAGGUGAUUUGAUAUGGAAUGAGGGGUCGCCGAUCGAUUUGACCGACCUAACGGAAUGUUCAGUUUAUCUUCUGAGAGAGAUUCGAAACUUGUUGAUAGUCCCGCUGGUGCGAAUUGUGGUGGUUGUGUGUUUAGUUAUGACGGUGCUGAUACUGGUGGAAAAGCUUUUUGUGGGUGCGGUCGCCUUGGCGGUGAAGAUAUGGAGGCUAAAGCCGGAGAGGCGGUAUAAGUGGCAGCCGAUUGCGCCGGACGAGGAGGAGGGGAGUGCGGCGUACCCGAUGGUGCUCGUUCAGAUCCCAAUGUACAACGAGAGAGAGGUGCAUUAAUUACAAAAUCACUUACAUUAGAUUUAUUGAAUCUGAUCAAACAGCUCAGUCGUAUUUACCCUAAUUUUAUUGUAAGGUGUAUAAGCUUUCCAUCGGAGCAGCAUGUGGAUUAAAGUGGCCCUCGGAUCGCGUGAUAAUACAAGUAUUGGAUGAUUCAACUGACCCAGAAGUGAAGGUACAGUAGUUCUCUAAACCUCAAUUAAUUAAUUAAUUAAGUAAUAGCUUAACUUUUUAAUUAUUUUAUUAAUUUAACAACCAAUCUAGUACUUUUUAAUUGUGUCUUAUAUUAAUAAGCUUUUUAAGGUUUGUCAAGUUUUAUAGAAGUGCUUUGUGAGCAGAGCUAUUUUUAAUAAUUUCAUAUUUGAUUGGAAACUCAAUUUUUUUCGAAAUUAGAUAACUAUAUUGACUUAUAGAGGAGUCAAUGAAAAAGUUUAAAGCUAACGGAUCCGUUUCAAAAUAUGCUAUUUUUGAGGGGUCUCCCUGUAACUUUUUACCCAUUGAAUGCGGAAAGAAAAGAACAAAUAGCAGCCGUUUUCACGAUCUUUUUGGCUGUGCUUUUUUCGCAGAGUAUAUGGUCCUCUGGACCACAAAAUUACGAAAAAAUCCCCCCAAUUAUUAUUAUUCUGAUUUUCUAACUGGUGAUGUUAAAAAAAGCAGUAACAUACUGAUUAAGACACUUGAAUAUAUUCAUUGUAGUAAAUUUACUUUAGUUUUUAUAUCAAAUAGAAAGUGAUUUACAAUAUCUACUAAAAGUUAUACAUUUUGAAUAUUUACAGUAUCAAAUAUGUAAAUUUAUACUUAGUUACGUACGAAAUUAUAACUGAUUAGAUCUUAUGAUAUAUAUAUAUAUUAUUUUUAAAUAAGAAUUGUUGAAUUUUAUCAGAUUCGAUAAAUUUAAUAUGUACCGAGAAAUAAUAACUCUUGUAAUAGUACUUUUUUAUUUUAAACAUAUAUAUAAUAUAGAAUAGGUUAAUUAAAGUGUUUAUAUUGAGAUUUUGUGCGUGUGUGUGUGUGAGAGAGAGAGAGAUGCACGGAGUCCCAUGCACGUGGAUAGAUUGUGCACUUGGGGCUCAUUUAAUUUUUAAUAUUGUGUUAUUUAUUUAUUGCUACUUAUAUUUCUUUUAUUUAUAAUAUAAAUUUUUUAUUAAAAAAUUAGAUUUAUAUAUUAACUAUUAUAUAGAGAAAUAUAUUGUAUUUAAUGUAGCACUAAGGAUCAUGAUCGAGCAUUACCUGUGGGAAAAUAUGCUACAAAAUGCACGCAAAAUUAAUAGACAUAUUCAAAUUGUUGUGUCACUAACAUAUGUUAUUUUUCUCUAGCCAUAAAACUGAUUAUUUUAAAUAGAAAAAAAAAAUUUCUAGCUUAUCAAAGCAUCGAACUACUAAUUUUUAGAAGUAAAAUAUAAAAAUAUGAUUGUUUCAAAAUACCCCACGAAGUGACUAUAAUUUUAGUUAUUUUGUAGUGUUUGUCAUUUUCAUUUGAUUAAUUGUUGUGAUCUCUUAAAGCUUUAAUUUUUUUGUUUCUAUUCUUUCGAGCUAGAUUCAGACACAUUUAUGAUAAUUUAUUGCAGCAUAGCUAACGAUGAGUACAAAAUAUAAGUACAAAUGAAUAGUUAGGUGGAGAGUGAAAUAAUCUUUAUAUGGUCAUUUUAUGUACUUCAUUUUUUUUUUUGAAAAUAAAAACUAUAAAAUGUCCCAAAUGAAUAAAAUGCAACUGUAACUAUAGUGUCUCCAACUUCAUUUUAUAUAUAUAUAUAUAUAUAUAUAUAUAUAUAUAUAUAUAUAUAUAGUUGAGCCGAAAUAAUAUCGGUGACAAACGGACUUCGUUACCAUCCAUUUGUUUUGAUGAUCCAACCUCCAAAUCGAAGAUUACUACCGUUGAACAUAAUCUAUACCAUUUGAAGUAUUUAGAAAUUAAAUUCUAAGUUUUUUCAACAUCAUUGGCCUAAUGAUCAAAGAGUUCCAAAUUUUAUAAUUUUAACAGUCCAUAUGAGACGUUUCUCAUUUAAUAGUGUAAAGAUAUUCAAAUCAAUUGAAUUUUGGUUAGAAAAUUCUUUAAACUAUUUAAAAUAAGAUUUAUACUCUUAAUCUUGAUUACAAAAUUUCUAUCAUCACUUUUUAAAGAAUAUUCAUUUUCAGCCGUUUAUUUUUAUGUCUACUUUGAUAGAUAAGAGAACGAUAUCGAAAUAAAAUGAAAUUUGAUUUCUAAACGCUUCAAGUGGUAUAAAUCAUGUUUAAUGACGCCGAUCGUCGAUUCGAAGACUCGAUCAUCGAAAAUAAAUGAAUGACAACGAAACUUGUUUGCUACCGAUAAUAUUCGAGCUCAACUCUCUCUCUCUCUCUCUAUAUAUAUAUAUAUAUAUAGUUUUGUUAUAUUCAUGGCUACUCCGACAAAAGGAUCAGGUUGUAAGGAGUGAUCAACUUCAAAUUUCUCUUUUGAUGGGUGGGUCCAUAAAAGAAAUUUGUCACCAACUUUUGGUAGCACAAAUCCACAUCAAUUAAUCCAUUUAAUUUGGCAACCAGCUGUUAAGGGCAUCAUUAUUGGACCAUUAUCCACACUUGGAAAAAAAUGGUUCAUUAGGGAUGCAAAUGUAUCAGUGUUGAUGAGAUCCUGUCUAUUCCGAAUAAAGCUAUAAGUAAAAGUCCAAAAUAAGAAGGAAAUAAAAAAAAAAAAAGUCAAAUCCAUCCCAAUCCUCUAAGAAAUGGAGCAGGAAACGGGAGAAGGGGGACUUUUUUUUUUUUAAAUAUGAUCUGCCCCAAUAAGCAGCUAAAAACUUGGUUCCAUUCCGACCCGUUCCGAAUAGAGCGAUAAGUGAGAACCAAAAAUAGGAUAAAAUCUAACUCACCCUGAAUCCAUCUGCUAAGAAAGUAGGGUGGGAGUCAGGGGGUCCCUCUCGCCCCCAGAAUCUGCAAACUCGCUGCCGGAUCCGUCUCCUUUGCAUCCUUAUGCUGAAUAUAGCUAUCCCUUGCCCUAUAUUGUGUCCCGUUCAAAUUUGAGGGUGUUAAAAGAUAAAUUCAACUAUUAUAGUUUGGCACCUCUUGUGCAAUUUCAUAAGACACAAAUUUAUCAGUAUUUGAUUAGAUUGUUAGCGAUCCUAAUACAAGUUACAGAUUAGGUUUAAUUUAUAUGAAGAUAACGACAUGUGACGCCCAGCUUUCCAGGAGUCAUCCAUUCUAGAACUACUCUAGUUGUAAUAAGCUUAACCCUUUUUACCUGUUGGGCCUAACCAUCGCCCAAAAUGUUAUAGUCAGGUUACGAAGUUUAACCUUAUUAUUUAUAUCUCAUUUAUAAGACUAACUUUUGGGGUGUCACAUUUCUUUUCCCUUUAAGCCUUGAUGUUCUCGUCAGACUACAGCACACGCACAAUUAUCAGGUGAUGUGAGAUUCUUCCCGCCAAUCUUGUUAUUCUAGCCCUAACUUAGCUUGUCAUUCAGUCCCUAAUUCAGCCGAAAGACAUCUCACACUUCUAGCUAGUAAUUAGAUAUGAUACCAACUGUGAUGCUCCACAUCCUAAGAAGGUCAUCAAUCUUAGAAUUAUUCUAGCUUUUACAUGUUUAAUUCUUUUAACCAAUUGAAUCUGGCCACCGUCCCAAAUGUUAUAGUCGGAUAAAUAGUUAUAGAGCUAAAAGGUGUCGUUUCGAGCUGGUUUGGCCCCGUUUCGAUCAAUUGGACCCAAUUUUAUCUAACCUAGAUAACUAGCAGUAACUUAUUUUGCGUGUAUCAAUCACUGACCCGAAAUAUUUAAGUUCAAGAUUAUCACUACUGAUGUAAUUAUUCUUAAUUUAAUAAUUUCAGAGUUUGGUGGAUUUGGAGUGUCAAAAAUGGAAGAGCGAAGGAGUGAACAUAAGAUACGAGGUGCGAGGCAACAGGAAGGGAUACAAAGCUGGCGCCCUGAAAGAAGGAAUGAAGCACGAAUACGUGCAGGAGUGUGAAUACAUUGCCAUGUUCGACGCCGAUUUCCAACCCGAAUCCAAUUUCCUAUUGCGAACUAUACCUUUCCUCAUGCACAACCCGGAAAUAGCACUCGUUCAAGCUCGAUGGAAAUUCGGUAAGCAAAAUUUUAGACUAGUCAAUCGUAAUUCGUCGAGUAUAAAUUUCGUGGUACGUUUCACAAGGAGACGAUGAUCUGAAAAUGUCUCUAUCCUGACGGUAUCACAAAGAGCUCUGACAAUAUCAAUUGAUCGUACAUUCAUGACAAUUACCGUCAAAAAAUAUGUGUACUUUACCUAAUAUCUAGACACUUAGCUCUAGGAACAAGUGAAUGGAUGUAUAUAUGCACAACCAUUGCCAAUGCAUGCAACCUAUCUUUCCAUACAAUCAUAUGAAAAACCUCAAAAACAAGGCUCACAAUUCUUGCUUAUAUAUAAGAAUGAAUAGUACUAGUUACAUGCAGAAAUUAAGCAAUUUCCAAGCAUUACCUGAUUGAAAACCACCGAAUUUUAUUGAGAUUUUUUGUGCAGUGAACGCCGACGAAUGCUUGAUGACGAGGUUGCAAGAGAUGUCGCUCGACUACCAUUUCAAGAUCGAACAAGAGGCAGGAUCAUCAUGCUUUGCGUUUUUCGGUUUUAAUGGUAAAAUCUUACUCCUUCCUAAAACUAAACCUGUGUUUAAACACCUCUUUUAUGCCUUGACGUUCUAAAUCUAGUUUUUGACUAGUCUUAAAAUGAUGAGUCUUUAAUUUCUAGGGCAGUUGAUUGAGAUACUCAACGUGGUGUGGCAUAUUCUAAGACCCGAAAACUACGCCAAAUUUCUCCUAAUCUAGCAUCAAAACUAUAUCUUUUAGGAACCGCUGGAGUUUGGAGGAUAAAAGCCAUCACAGACGCCGGCGGUUGGAAGGAUCGGACGACGGUGGAAGACAUGGAUCUAGCGGUUCGAGCUGGCCUUCGCGGUUGGAAAUUCGUUUACAUCGGCGACCUUAAAGUAUGUCACUCUUCCUUUAAUCCAAACCAGCACUCUAAAUAUCAAACACCAAGCACCAUAUUUAAGUAUUGACAUUUGGAUACAAUUGAAUGUUACAUUUAUUUGUUCCUACUAUUGCAUGAAAAAUAGGUUAAAAGUGAGCUACCAAGUACUUUCAAGGCAUUUAGGUACCAGCAACAUAGAUGGUCUUGUGGCCCUGCUAAUUUGUUUAAGAAGAUGGCUGUGGAAAUUAUACAAAGCAAGGUCAUCACUCUUCUUUAUUAGUUUGCUAGUCUCUUCUUCUUUUUAUUUUUUACUUUUUUCUCUUUUCUGAGAAAAGUUUCGUAAUCAUCUGAACUUUGCCCGAAUUGUAAUUGGCGACUUGAACUUCAUAACUUCGACUUAACUCCAAAAGCUUAAACUAUCAGGUGGAGAAAUCCAUCACGCUAUAUACAGCCCAACAUUCUAAUUUGUAUUCAAUACCGGAUUAACAUUCUUAACAAGAAUUAUUGUUCGGCUUGUAAAUUUUAACAUUUUAAAGUUCAGAUAGUAAACUACAACUCGAUUUUCUUUUUUCUUUUUUUUUUUUACUUUUGCGACUAAUUGGAGAACUCUGUUGAUACUAAAACAUUACUCUGUAUAUUUGCUGCAGAAGGUGUCAAUAUGGAAGAAACUCCACAUACUAUAUGACUUCUUCUUUGUCGGUAAAAUUGUGGCUCACACAUUAACCUUCAUCUACUACUGUGUACUGAUUCCAGUUUCCGUGUUUUUUCCCGAAGUGGAGAUCCCUCUCUGGGGUGUGGCUUAUGUUCCCACAAUUAUUACCCUCUGCAAAUCUGUGGGUACACCAAGGUAAAAGCUAGUUCUUAGAGAUUGUAGACACACGGUUUUCUCUUUAAUUCAGUAGAAUUUAGUGUUUCUUUGACCUGACUAGAGCUUAGAACCAUUCUAAAGGCAAUAAUUACUAUUUCGUUUCAGAAAAGUUCUAUAAUCACUUUAGGGUCCUAUUUCUCUAGAGCCCCAUGCGCAAGGUUUUCCUCGCAUACGAGGUGAUCCCGCUGCUCAGCGACGAAAUGCAUCCACCCAGUCCAAAUUGGGGGGCUUGAAAUCAUCCCAUGGCCGAUGAACGAUAGGAAUACGGUGUUGUUAGGAAAGGCUUGGCUCUUGUGCUUCAAAAGCGCGAUUCAGCAUUCUUAAAGGGGAUUAUCAAACAUCUUAAUUUUGAAACUAUUUGGUUUUUGAAGUAGAUAACUAUUCGUUUGGCCUGAUUUGUGGAAAGAAACAAUUGCCAGACAACUGGCAAGUGAAAACGUUGGACCUUUCGCAUCCAUGUAUAUUGAAAAGAGCUUCUAAGUCUUGAUAUUAUAAUUUUCAACUUUAAGUUUCUACUUUUGUCACGGCAAAGACACCGCACAAACAAGCUCUAGUCAGGCAAAACAUGCCCUUACAUUGAACCCACAUAUUAGCAAGCAUAUUAAUUAAUACAUCAAAAGGUGUCUGUUCAUUGUUCCUACUCUAUUUCCUUGUUGAUAUAACAUUAAAUAUCCCAAAUUCAUAAUUUCCUUUUUUAUUUUUCUCCUGUUGCAGCUCUUUUCAUCUGGUGAUACUAUGGAUUUUGUUUGAGAAUGUUAUGUCACUGCACCGGACAAAAGCGGCUUUAACUGGUUUGUUGGAUGCUGGGAGAGUCAAUGAGUGGGUGGUCACUGAGAAGUUGGGGGAAGCUCAAAAGACAAAACCAGCUACAACACGAGAAGCAGAUCUGACUAAGAAUCUAUUAGUAGAUACUCAUGAGCAAACAAAUCCAUGCAUUCUCAAACCAAAGAAACAGCAAACUAGGUUUUGGCAUAGGUAUGGUUUCAUUAAUGAUCUUUGUUAACUCAGUGUGCUCGUAAAGUUCAUGCGAAAAGGUUUUGUUCGUUUCGAUUUUGUCAUCCAGCGUGAGAUUCGUUGAACAUGAUCACUGUUCACUAACAGUAAAAGUGGCUAUGCCACCUGACCAUUUGGAUGUACAGGUCAGGUCGAAGGUCGACAUUCGACUCAUUAACAGUUUAAGAGUUGGUUUGCAUCGAGUUUCCUUGACCUGGCGGGUCAUGACACCCUACUUAAUUGACUCGACCUAACUGGCCCUCAUCGGUUCUGGCAAGCCGAUGCUACUUGACUCGACCCGACCCUGACCUGACUCGACUUGUUACCAUCCCUACUUCUAAAUUUCGACAAAAUCAUCUUCAAGUACUCAAAAUAAUCAGCAUUUUUUUUUUUUUUUCUUUUUAAUGCUAGGUUCUAUUACUCGGAACUCUCCGUUGGAACCUUCAUGUUGCUUUGUGGGUGCUAUGAUGUUGUAUAUGCUAAAGAAGGAUACUUCAUCUACCUCUUCCUUCAAGGACUCGCAUUUUUAGUAACAGGUUUUGGGUGCAUGGGCACACAUCUCCCUGAUUCUUAACCAAGUUGCGAAUCCAGAUAAAUAAUGGGACUAAGUCGCAAAAUUGCACAUAGCUGCUCCAGCUUCAUAUAAAGAUAUUCUUGUCAUCUUCAUGUAUUUGUAUUUCCCCCUCAAAAGGGAGCCACCAUUAGUUCUUUAUUUCUAGCGGCAAAAAAAGCUCGAUAAAAUAAACAUCUAGUGCAUUUUCAUUUUUGUUAGAAUUUAAAUACUGAGCUACCGAUCGAUGUACCAUGUAAUUAUCAACUUUGAUUCUGAUAUUAUUUGUUGGAGCAUAGAUAAAAUAAUCAAAAGAAGUGGUUUGAAGAGAAAACAAAAUUGGAUUUGUAUUUGUAAAGGUUUAACAAGAGCAUGAGUUUUAAAGUAUCAGCUGAGAUAUAUAGCGAAUGCAUUUAUAGUUUUAUUUUUCGCGAGACAUAGAAAGUUCUAGAAAAAACAGUAGAUAUUAUAUACGGGUCGAGAGUGUCUGAGAUGCAGAGCACGAUAUUGAGAAUGAUGAGAUCGGACUUAAAGUGCGCAAUUAUUAAUUAAAUCCUUUCAAAAUAUCUUGAGAAACGGACACCUGCGCUAAAAGUUACGGGCAAAAAAUAUCUCUUCACUGCCCGACAAAGAUUAAACUUUGCAUGGACCAUGUCUACCACGUCAUCAUAAUGGAGAGAGUAAAUGUGAAGGGAGCAGUCAAAUUAGAGGAGGCCACGUACCUGAAUAAGUAGGCCGGUGCAUAGACUUGGUUCACGUAAUAAUCACGAACCGGAUAGGGCCGAGCCAUUUCCCCGAUCCGUCCAAAGAGUGGGUCCCGUCACUCCUAUUUUAUCUGCUCGGUAACAAUGCGCGGAGACCCUUCAAUAUUCGCAAUUUUGAAGAAAGCCCCUCAACUUGUUUGUUUUUUUGGCCCUUCCCAAUCUGAGCUACCUGCAAUUUGGAGCCACAAAAUUUAGUAAAUUUAAUAAUUCUGUAAGCUAUUGGCUAUUAAUUAAUAGAAUAAUAACGAAUAUAUUUAAAUAAAAAAUUUUAUAAUCUUUAAUUUAUUAUUUUCAAAUUUUCAAAUUUGUGUGGUGCCGAAUCAGGAGAUCGUAUAGUUGAGGGGGUCUCCGUGCAUUUUUACCUCCGUUUUGGUUUUUCCCCUUGCUCCUCUUCCUCCUCCGAUCUAUAAAACCCUAACCCUCGCUACCCACGUGAUGGCCCCCCAUACCGGCGGCGGCAGUGGCGGCGGCGGAGGCGCGAUGGACUCCUCGGCGGCGGCGGCGGCGGCGCGGGGCGGGCGAAUCGUGCUGGUGAACGAGCUGGGAUCGGGGGCGGGGGAGGAGGUGAAGGAGGUGGGGUGUGGGCAUAGGUUUCACGGCGGGUGCAUAGAGAGGUGGAUGGGGAUGAGGGCCACGUGCCCCGUGUGUAGGGCUAGGGUUAGGGUUUCAGCGGAGGAGGAGGAGGAGACGAUCGGGAGGAGGAGGAGGAGAGUGGGUGUUUGGAUCGCGCUCGCGAUCGGACGGUGAGGAUUGAGCGAUCNAUAUUUACUACUCAUAAACAAAUUUAUUAAAUUUGAUCAUAUUUAAUGCAUCUGAUCCGUCCCUAUCUAUAGUUUGCGCCGGACCCGAGUCCAAUCCCAAGUAAUAAGGCUCAAGGCCAUAUAGAAAAUAGACUUUUGAACUUAGGCCCAGGUAGGCCCAAGGCCCAGUGUGUUAGGCGCAGUUUGGCUUUUAGGCCCACGCAACAUUGAACAAAAUAAAGUUGGGACGAAAGCAUUUGACAUGAUGUGCAGAAUCUUAUAGAAACAAAUGAGUGUAGUUACCUCAUAUUUUGGGUAUUUAAUUAAUCUAAUCUCGAUUAAUAUUAUUGAUGUUCAACUUUCUAAUUCAUAUAGUGAGUAUAAUCACACUGUGCUAAUUGGAAAUAUCCAAUAUCAAGAUCCACAACCAAUAAUAUUAAUCGAGAUUAGAUUAAUUAAAUACCCAAAAUAUGAGGUAACUACACUCAUUUGUUUCUAUAAGAUUCUGCACAUCAUGUCAAAUGCUUUCGUCCCAACUUUAUUUUGUUCAAUGUUGCGUGGGCCUAAAAGCCAAACUGCGCCUAACACACUGGGCCUUGGGCCUACCUGGGCCUAAGUUCAAAAGUCUAUUUUCUAUAUGGCCUUGAGCCUUAUUACUUGGGAUUGGACUCGGGUCCGGCGCAAACUAUAGAUAGGGACGGAUCAGAUGCAUUAAAUAUGAUCAAAUUUAAUAAAUUUGUUUAUGAGUAGUAAAUAUGUGUCUGCUAAUAUUGUCAAGCUCUAGGUUUGGUCUUCCAUGCAACUUGCAGUGUCUGGCUAAAACUUCCAUUGAGUAAGAGAUUAAUUAAGCCAUUGAGAAAUUGCAUCUUAGCCUUGGGAAUAGAUAAAUUUUACCUCUAAUAAAAUAAUAUGUUGGUUCAAUGUGUUUUUAGUGGGUAUUACUUUAGUUGAGAGAUAAAGACAAAAUUAAGAUACUAAAAGCUGUAAUACCCCAGGUCUUUAGCGCAAGUAGUAAAGAUUUGAUGGUUAGUAUCCGAGGUUCCAAAUUCGAAUCCUAAUUGAUUCAUAUUUUCAGCUAAAUUUAUUUCUAAACAAAAUAUACAAAGUGAAUAAUAUACUAUCUCUCUCUCAAAAAAAAAAAAGAAAAAAAAGGAAAAGAUAGGAAUGUUUUGUUUCCCACCUGUUUUUGUUAGGAUUUUUUCAAUUAAGUAUAUUCCAUACAUAUAUAAUUCGAAUAUAAGGGUGUUUAUAUAAACGUAACUAUUAGGAGUUGAAUUCCUUAACCUUCGAUCUGGUCAAAGAUCUUUCUAGGGAAGCGUGCAAGGAUUAGGUACGACUUUACGUGGUGACUCUCGAAGUUCGUGCCCUUCGACGGAUCAAGCGAUUCGGCUGAUGAGGGAUCGGAUUAGCCGGGUUCGAAAGUCUUUACUGUAGAAUUGGUUCGGUUGAAAGAGCCGAAUGUAUGGAAUUCACAGUAGUUUGGGUCGGCUGAAGAGCCGAAUGCCUUUAUAUAUUGAAAUUAGAUUUGAAAAUUUGUACAGAAGAGAGUGUGCUUGUGCGGCAUACGGACUCCAGGAAUCUAUCUUAAAACUACUCCUAAGAAAGAAAGUAAAUACGGGAAAAGAAAAAAUUACAAGUUGGAUUACUCCGAGGAAUGAAAGAAAAAUGCGUAGAAAUUGAAAGGUCCUCUCCUAUUCGCCGGGCAAAAAUCCCUCCUUCAGGCAUUAUUUGCCUAUUUAUAUUCCGCUUAUUAUUGUUUGGUUAUGUACGUGAUCGGCCACUUUUCUGUUUUCAGGGGCCUACUAUAAGCCGAUCCUAACCAUUCAAAACCAGUUGCGGUUAUGCUGUUGUUCCUUUUUACUCCCCGUGCACAAAAUGUAAUUAAUUCCUGACUUUUAUGACUCCCGCUUAAAUGGUGCACCAAUCUACCACGUGACAUCUUAUUAUUGGCCUAAGAGUAACACCACUAUCUAGUAUAAUUGAUUAACAUUUUUUUUUUUUAUCAUAAAGGAUAUACUAGCAAUAUUAGCAGCUUAGAAGUACAACAUUUUGAAGAAGUACAACAUUUUGAAGGACUCACAAGAGUAUUUCAUUAAAAAAUGGAAAAAAUGAAUUCUCUUUUUAUGUCUUGAAUGGUUCAGUAAAAGGUGGAGAGAAAAAGGAUAAGGCACUAUUUGAAUAAGUGGAGUUUGACAAUGAGAUUGAUUGUGAUAGAUAUCCCAAAAUAAGGGGCUUUAUACCUCAAUUAAUACCAAAUUUUCAACUCAAACAUUUGUGGGUGGUUAGGAACUUAAAUUAGGAGAAAAUUCAAAAUUAUGACUCUAUAAUCUGAAGUAAUUAGCUGAGGGGCUGUUUGGUUCCUCGAAAAUUUGAAAAGGUUUUUUUUUUUGGAAAACAAAAGGGUAUUCAGGAAAAAUACUUUGCUCCUAAUUUUUUUUUCUUUUUGAUAAAAUAUUCGGAAAAUGAAAAGAAGACUUUUUCAUAAAAUUUGAAAAAUAAAUUAAAAAAAAACUAUUUUUUCUGCGAACCUAAUGGACUAAAAAUAUUUUUUCAAGCAGAAAAUUAUUUUCAAAAAUAUUUUUUCAAAAAACUAAAUUGCUUUAUUAAUUAGAAAUGGUUCGUGAGAUUCUCGAAGCUUCUAAUUCCACCACCACAGAUUAUAAAAAAAAAAAUUAAAUAGAACUUUUUAAAUUUAAGAACCAAACUCAAGGAAAAGGUCAAAUAGGGCAUUGUGGUUAUCGAACUAAUUAUUAAACUAAUUAAACAAAAUGUGACAAAAUAUACAUGGCUAUAAUUAAAAGAAGAACUUUUCAUUUGGGUCCCUCAUGUUUACAUAAUUUUAUAUUUUUCACUUGCAACAAGUCCACCUUAAAGGCCAACCGAAAGGUGAAUUAUUAAAUAUGAUAUGCACACUUGAUGUAGUUUUGUAAUGGUUGUGUCACUUUUCCUGAAAGGGAUAAGAUAUAAAUACUUUUUUUUAUGUAUCAUUGCACGCAUUUCUCCUACUAACUUAAAAAAUAUAAAUUAAAGGCUAAAUUAUAGAAAAAUUUUCGGCCAAUAUCUCUUUUUUUAUUUGUUCUCUCAUAUCAUUUAAAACCUAUACUUACUUUCUUGAAAAGUCAAAAACGUUUACAGGAGGAUACGGUGUUAAUUGUGAUAGUGAAAUCGCCAAAUUAUCCCUAACCACCUUCGUCCCCAAUCUUGCUCGGCCGUUGUCUCUCCUCUUCCGUUCUUCGCGUCUCGCUCAACCGCAGCUUCGACUCCAUGUCCUCCAUCUGCUCUCCCGCUCCUCCUGCACUGUAAUGACCACGACCCGACCCGCUAGCAACAAUAACUUGUUGCGUCCGAACCACCGGUACAAAAUGCUUAAGCCGAGUUAUUAUUACUAGCGUGUAGGUCUCAUAUAAACUGAUAGGAAUCAGUAUCCCAUCCGAUCUGGGACUAUUGGGGGCGUUACAAACUCCCCCGUUUAGACCCUGACGUUCUCGUCGGGUCCAAACCAGAUUACAAACAGACAGAUCAGGACCAUUACCAAGCGAUGUGAGAUUCUAGAGGUGGCUCCUACGGGUUCAAGAGGUGGCUCCCACCAAAUCCGUUGGUGUAGCACUUUGUCCUGCAUAGCACUUAGUUCUCACACUUCCGGCUGGUAACCUGGCUCUGAUACUAAUUGCAACGACCACGAUCCAACCCGCUAGCAACAAAAACUCGUUGAGCCCGAACCACCGGCCCAAAAUACUUAAGCCGAGUUAUUAUUACUAGCGUGUAGGUCUCAUAUAAACUGAUAGGAAUCAGUAUCCCAUCCGAUCUGGGACUAUUGGGGACGUUACAUGCACCCUCAUCGUCCCCCCAUUUCGAUGACGGUCGAAGGAGAUUGGAUUGGGUAUGGACGGAGAGGUGGGCGAUGGCAAGACGGUGAAGGAGCGUGAGAGCGUGUGUGUGGGCGCGAAUGGAGAGAUGGGUGAAGGCGAGGCGGCAGAGGAGUAGGGCGAAGCGGCGUGGGCGGCGAAGGAGGCGACAAUAUUAAGAGGAGGUGGUUGAGAAUAUUUUUGAUAUAAAAAAUAUAUAAUAAUAUAAUAUAAACGAAAUUCUGAUGGAAUACUAACGGCAUGCAGGAGCCAAAAUGAACAUUUUUUAUUUUUCAAAUGAACAAAAUAUAGAUUUUUAAACGACAGAAGAAAAAAAUAAAAAAGAGGAUACCGACAAUAAAAUUUUUUGUAAUUUAGUCUAAAUUAAAAUAUAUAUUUUCUCUACUCUGAAAAACACUAAAUUGAACAACUGAACUAUGAACUUUUAAGUAACUAAGCUUUUCAAAAAGUUUCACCUUAUUCGCCUCAAUCUCAAUUUGUCACUAGAGAUGUAGUAAACUUUAACUUUUUAUUUUUGAUUGGAUCAUGGAGAAAUUAGUCGGUUAAUUUUUCUGAGAUGAUACAUCAGUUGAAUCAGCUAUCGUGCUUCAUCAUAGUUUUAUAGAAAAACUCGACAAUAAAUCAUCAAAUAACUUAGGUUUAGUUUGGUAUUGAAAUCUAUCUAACGUUAUUAGAUAAAAUAAAGUUGAGCAAAAAAUAUAUAGGGAUAUGCUUCUGCGUUCUCCGAUAGGAUCACAGAAAAUAUAUUAUAACUGACUCAUCGCAAUAUGCGGAACGCAAUAUUAUGUAUAAAAAUAAACAGAAUAUUUUUUCAACGUAUUUUCUCACCGCACGUAACGCAUAAUCCCAAACGAAGCCUUAGUUGAAACAAUAAUUAAAAAUCCAAUAAUUAGUUGAAAAUUUUUAUUAUCUUAAGUUUUUCGUUCGGAGCUAAACAUAUUUUGACCGACCUAAUAACAUUUUUCAAUAUUAUUAUCAUAUAUUUUAUCCCAAAAAUUAUUAUUUAUUUUGAAAAUUAGAUGUGUUUUGAAUCUUGCUACACGAAAAUAGUAAAUAUAUAUAUACACUAUAAAUUAUAAAUAUUUAAUAAAAAGAAGAGCUUAUGUGAUAUGUGUAGUGUAGAAAAUUUCUAUAUCCUAAAAUAUAAACUAUGCUAGUUGAUUAGUAUCAUAUAUUUUAUCCUAAAAAUAUAUUAUCUGUUUUGAAAAUUAGUCGUAUUAUCUUUCUAGUGUUUGAAUAUUGCUACACACAAAAACAAUAAAUAUACACAUCGUAAACUAUAAAUAUUUAAUAAAAAAAUUAUGUAAAGUACUAAAUAUGCCAAAUAUAUUGGUAGCUGACUAGGACUGAAAAAGGUCUUUUCUCACCCCUUUUUGUCUUUUUUUUUUUUUUUUUUGGAAAAACUUCAAAUAUCCCCCGUGGUUUCGUAUUUUCUCACUUUAGUAUCCUGAUCCUGUGGUUUCACAUUUUCUCACUUUAGUACCAUGUGGUUUAAUAUUUUAUUAAAUUAUAUAUCCCGAAAUGGAUAAUAAAAAAAAAAAAUUGAAACCACAGGGUACUAACUUGAUAUAAAAAUAAAACCACAGGGUACUAACUUGAUACACUUGAAACCACAGGAUACUAAAGUGAGAAAGUGCGAAACUACAAGAUACUAACUUGAUACACUUUAAACCAUAGAGUACUAAAGUGAAAAAGUGCGAAACCACAAGGAGGUAUUUAAAGUUUUCCCUUUUUUCUUUUUGUUACACGAAGCUGAAAAUGUCAACGGAUCGAAUUCGGAGCGGAUUUUAAAAAAUUCGAACCCGAACCCGGCUCCAAACCAAAAAUCCGAAAUCGAAUCCGCAUCCGACAGAUUUUAAAAACUUGUACCCAAAUCUGGAUCCGACCACAAAUUCGAAAUUCGAAUUCGAAACAAUUAUUGCUCUUUUCAAUAUUUCAAAAUAUAUUAUAUUAAAUCUAAAUUAUGAAAAUACAAAUUUAGAUAUAAGGGCGUGUUUGGUUUGAAGUCGGAGUCGGAAUCGAAAUCGAAAACCAAAUAAACUGGAAUCGGAAUCGGAAUGACUUAUUACCUAAUUCUAUUUGGUUCAUCACCUGAAUCGGAAUCGGAAUAAAUCAUUUUUAUUGUCGGUGUUUGGUUCAGAUGGAUAUAAAAACGUAAUCAAAUUAAUAUACUAACAUUAUCUUUAUAAUAUAUUAAUUUAAAUUCAAAUUCAUAAGUUAAAUUCAAAUUCAAAUUUAAUUUAAAUUCAAAUUCAUAAGUUAAAUUCGAAAUACUUGAUUAAAUUUUAAUUUUUAAUUUAAGUUCAAAUUAAAAUUCAAAAUUAUAUAUUUAAUUUUUAAAUUUUAACUCAUAUUUUAAUUAAAAAAGUUUAAAAGAUAAAUUUAAUCCGAAUAAAUAUUCAUUCCGUCAGGAUUCAACUUUCAAUCCGACCUUCUAGGCCGGAUUGAAAAAAGGGGUGAUCGAGCGAUUUCCAUUUCACUUGAGAAUCAAAAUCGGAAUGAAACUCCCACGUACCAAACACCCACAAACGAAUUCACUCAUUCCCACCCCGAUUCCAUGGUAAAAAAGAAGCGAACCAAACACGUCCUAACAUCCAACAUAUUAAAUAUAAUGUAAAAUAAAGUCGACUUCGAAUCGAAUGCAGUCAAAAUUCAUAACCAUCAGUUUAUUUUUUUUUAUAUCUAUGUUUAAAUUCAUAUCUCGAAUAAAUCUGUUAGUAUUCGAGUUCGGAUAAAAUUUUGGAUAAUCAUAUCCAACGACGUUUUUGUACAUGGCGAUAGAUUUGAGGAGGGAGGAGGAAUCAAAAAAUGGUCUCUCGUGGCCCCACAACGCCGAAGCUUGUGGCUCCCAAUUGCUGACGUGGCACACUCUCUUCUCUCCCUUCCAGAAAUUUAGAGCCUGCACCAUGUGUAUUUGUGCACUUCAUGCACCGCACUCAUUUGACCUUUUAAUUAGGGGCAAUUGUUUAUAUAGUGCUGAAAAGUUUUGACUUUCUGAUUUACCUUUUUUAGAAAAUUAAUAUUGAAAAUAUUUUUUUUUACGUUCCAACCUAUUUCAAAUAUAUUCGUAGAGUUAAAUUCUGUUAAUGAAUUAUUAGCAAUAUAUUCGUAGAGUUAAAUUCCUGUCGCCACGUCGCGAAACCAACGCUUGAUCCUCCUGGCUGCGACUUGGUGGGUAAUCUGGACAGAUAGAAAUAACUCUAUUUUCAAUGGAAAGCCGCCCACAGUUUUCUGGGUCUCUUGAACGCCUCAAAGCUCUGAUAAGCACUUGGAGUACAUUGCUUUGACGCCCUCACAUACCUCUCCUUUUUUUUUUUCUUUUUCAGUUUUCUUUUUUCACCUUUUUGCUGCUUACUCGGAGGCCUAAGCUGCCUCCAACUUGUAUGCCCAGUUCAUUAGACUUAAUGAAUGAAGCAGGUAGCUUGCUACCUAUUUCUCAAAAAAAAAAAGAAUUAUUAGCAAUAGUUGUUAUAUGUAUAAAAUUACGAUUUUAUCUUUUCAAAUAUACCUCUCCAUCAUUAUCGACUUUUUCUAUUCAAUUAGGAGUACAAAAAAUAUUUUAACUUUUGGUUUUUUCAAAUAUUUUCUUCUACCAUUACCAAUAUUCUUAUUUGUCCUUAAGGAUAAAAGAGGCAUUUUAAUUUUUUUAAACUCUAAUAGAUAAAUAACUCUCAUUUAACUCAAAUUAAUUUAACGGGUGGUAACUGCAGGAGUAUUUUGGAAUAACGGAGGAACAUUUGAUAAGUAUAUUUGAAAGAAAAAAAAAAUAAAUGAGAUAUUUUUGAAGUUUUGAGAGUUAUAUAGGCAAUUAUUUCUUUUAACUAUUAGUUUCAUAAACUAUUUCCUGAAAAAAAAAAAAACUCUCUCUCUUUUUCUCUCUCUCUCUCUCUCUCUCUCAAUAACUCUAUAAAAAAAUAUAAUAACACCAUAAAAAAAAAUUUUGAAUAGUAUUUUAAUAUAAAAUUACUAUAUUACUCCCUAUUAAAAUUUUAAUUAUUAUGUACAGUAUAUAUAUAUAUUUCUAUUGUAAAAGAAUAUGGUAGCUUAAUAAAUGAACAUAUCAUAAAUUUUAAAAAUUUAUUAAUUCGCAUCAAACAAUUUCUAAUUUUUUUUCUAUCUGUACGACACUAGCAUGAUUUCUUUAAAAUUUAUUUAGCACAAAAAAAGUAAAAUACACACGAGCAGCUUGCUCUUCAUCACAUUUAAUAUUCACAUUUAAUAUCAAAUAGUGGUUGACCCAAAAAAAAGCCCUAAAAAUAAAUGGUAGAGAAUAAUGAUAUUAUUAAAUUUUAUUUUGAAAAUUUUAUUAUAGGAUUUUACUAGUGCUGUGCACCUUAUGCACCCGGUGCAUGCAAUGAUAUCUAAUGCUUUUUUAUAUUUUUCUAUAAAAUAAAAUGGGAGAGAGAGGAGGAGGAACCACAACCAGUGGAAUCUAGAGAGAGAGAGAGAGAGAGAGAGAGAGAUGGAGGAGAGAAGAGACCAAGCAAUUAAGCUAUUUGGAAAAAUGAUUCCUUUGCAGGGGAGUGGGGAGGAUUCAAUUGGUGCAGGAGAAGAGGAGAACAAGGUGAAUUUAAUUGAUAUUUUUAAUGGUUUUUUUUUUUUGUAAUUCUUUUUUUUGUUUUUAUUGGAUUUAGAUAUCAUUAAAGAAGGCCAAUUUUGAGGUUUGGAUGGGUGUUUUUGUUGAAUAAAUUUGAUGUUUUGAUGUUUAUAUAGGGAAAAGGAGAAAAAAAAAAUGCAAUUUUUGGUUAAUUUAAAUGAUGGAUUCACUAAAUUAUCCAUUGGAUAAUUAAUGGUGUUUUUUUUGGUAAUCUUAGUUUAAUUGGAUUGUGAUGUUUUGUGGAUUUAAAAAAAUUUUGGAGGAUAUUGGGUUGGUUAAUUUGUGUUGAAUUUUGUGAAUUUUCUAUAAAUUUUGUUUUUUUUAUUCUUUUUUUUUUUGUAACUUUAGGCAUGUUAAUUUCACUGCCUUGUGUAGAAAAAGUGGAUAAUUAAUGAGGACAAAGUAAAUGGUAUUUAUUAGGGAAAAAAAAUAAAUGGUCUUAAGACUGUUUCCAGAAAUAAUUUAUUGUUUUUUUAUCAACAAAAAAUGGUAAUUGGUGUUUUUUUAUGAAAUAAUCAUGUUCCAUUUUGGAUUAUUAUACUUUAGGAUUACUUUAAUUUCCACUAUUUGUUGCUAUUACCUGGAUUUAUAUGUUUAUAAUAUUCAAAGGCAUUACCAAAUUAAGCACAAUUUAAGCUAAGUUUUAGUGAAUAAUUAAUUACUGUGCUAUCUCAGACCUUACAAAAGUGUUCCUAUUUUCAGUGGAAACAUUUUUUUUUAUUUUAUUUUUAUGUUGAUUCUUAAUCUCUCUUAAUUAGAUGUAGCAUUAACAGUGAUCCUCAUGAAAAAAAAAAAAGAUGAAAAAUUUUGAAUUUCUUAAUAUAAAUUUUGAAAUACAAAUUAUUUACAGUUGCAGCAGCGUGUUCCGGAGAAACAACUUGCAGUUCAAUCCAUUUCCCUGGAAAAAAUUGACCCCCUCAUUCCACCACCUACAAAAUCCGAAAACGGCGCGAAACCCGAAGCGAAAGAAGCGGAAAACGAAAAACAGAGAAAACCGAACGGCGAUCAGGACGAAGAGACGGCGGCGAGAAAGCCCGACAAGAUCGUCCCGUGCCCGCGGUGCGACAGUCUGGACACGAAAUUCUGCUACUUCAACAACUACAACGUCAGCCAGCCGCGCCACUUCUGCAAGAACUGCCAGCGGUACUGGACCGCCGGCGGGUCCCUCCGCAACGUGCCCGUCGGCGCAGGCCGCCGCAAGACCAACAAGUCCUCCCCAUGCUUCCGGGGCGUGAAUUUGAAUCCUGCACAUCCUACUGCCGUCCUCAGCUUCGGGUCGGACUUGCCUUUGUGCGAGUCCAUGGCCUCGGUUCUGAAUCUCGAGAGCUGCGAGGAUCAGAACUCGAGCCAAUCUUCGAUGACCGGCUCGAGCUCGACUACUGACGACGGCACAGGAACUGCUUCUGCUGCUGCUGCUGCAGUUGUAGCUCAAAUUCCUUGUGUGAAUGGAUUCCCCUGGGCUUAUCCUACAAGCCCUGCUUCUGCUUCUGCUUCUGCUUCUGCUUUUGCUUUUCCACUUUACUACCCUGCAGUGGCCUACUGGGGCUACACUGUUCCAUUGCACCCUCCACAACACAACUCUCCUGCUCUGGGCAAGCAUUCAAGGGAAGGGGACAAGUUGGACGACACCGACUCGGAGAAAACCUGCGAGGAGAAGCGGUUUUGGAUACCGAAAACGCUGAGGAUCGACGACCCCGCGGCGGCCGCGAGGAGCUCUAUUUGGGCGACAAUCGGCUUCAAGAACGAAAAGUCUAGCGCGGUGUGCGGCGGCGGGCUUUUCAAACCGUUCCGGUCGAAAGACGACUGCAAGAAAAGCACUUCUGAGAGGCCCCAAGUGUUGCAGGCAAAUCCUGCGGCAUUCGCUAGGUCGAUGAACUUCCGCGAAAGCUCGUAGGGAAGCAGAUACAGUUAUAGCUAAAUAUCUUUUUGUAUAUAUAUAUAUAUAUAUAUAUAUAUUGAGAGUGGAUAUAUAUUUAACUGAUGAUUUAGGUUUGACACAGCUGAGAUUGUGUUAAGUGUAGUAGUGGUGAGUUUAAUUAGCUUUGUAUAUAUACAUAAAUAUUAUAUGUUUGUGUAUGGAAAUUGGGAGGAAGAAACAAGGGAGAGGAGAGGCGUAGAUAGAGAAGGAGAGAGUAUUAAUGAGAUUAGAUUAUGAGAUUUUCAAUUGUAGCAAGAGAACUCUGAUUUGUGAAGUUCUAAAGAGUGUUGCAUGCUUCUUCUGGUGGUAGACAAAUGAUUCAUCAUAGUUUUUCUUUCUCCUUGUUUGGUUGUUUUCCUUCUUGUGGAGAAAGAUGUUUCGCAGGUAUAUCUUAAAUGAGAUAUUUGAGUCUUCAAUUUAGGGCUGCGAACGGGACAGAUCCAGAAAUGAGAGGGAACCCCCACAUCCCACUCCGUUUUCUUGAUGGGUUGGAACGGAAUACGGAUUUAUGAUGGACUAAAUUUUAUUCUAUUUUUAACUUAUAUUUUUUCUGGAUUAGAUGGACCGGGACGGAUGAAAGGGACUCCAUUUCUUAGCGGAACGGAAUAGAUUCGGGAUAUAUUAUUUUUCUUUUCUUAUUUUUGGCUUCACUUACCGUAGAGACGGAUCGAAUUGGGGUCUCCACCUACCCAAAUCCAUCUGCAUCUCUACUUCAAUUUCUCUCUUUAAACUUAUGUUGAGUUUGUUUGCGAUGCUAUAGAGUGUAGUGUUGUUCGAUUAAAUACUGUCAUCGCUUGUAGACUUGUAGUAUGUUUAAAAGAUCAUUAUAUAAAAAUUCAUUCAAUGGAUUUUCUAUACAGUAGAAGCAAAAAACAUUAAAUUUGGUAGUGUUGCUCAAAGUGAAAAAGCUAAAUAAGGAAUUUUCUUUCAUUUUGUCUUAAAUCAUAUUCAGCCAUGAAUAUAGCUGAGAUCAGUAACAGCUCUUAAAAUUCACAUUAUUUUUAAUUCCAUUUUACCCUGCAGUUGUUGCUGGUCUAAAUUCUAGAAAAAUAAUUUCUACUGAAUUGAUUUUUAUUUGGAAAAUUGAUUUUGGUAAAAAGCUAUAUAAAGCGUUUGACUGAGUUUAGAUGGAGAGUAAUUUUUCUGAAGAAAAUUUGUAAAACUAUUUGGUUGAAUUUUUUUUAAUAUUCGCAUAUAAUGAAUUUUUUUACUAAAUUUUAUUUUAAAAAAUUUUAAAAUUUGAAUUUAAAUAAAAAUUUUAAAUUCUAAAUUCUAAAUUCUAAAAUUUUAAAUUUUUAUCUUAAAUUUAAAAUUUAAAAUUUAAAUUUUAUAGUUUAAAAUUUGAGAUUUGAAAUUUAAUACUUAAAUUUUAAAUUUAAAAUUUUGAAAUUUGAAAUUCGAAAGUUAAAAUUUAAAAUUUUGAAUUCAAACUAAAUUUAAGUUUUAAAAUUUAUAUUUAAAUUUAAAUUUAUAAUAUAAAUCUAAAAUUAAAAAAAAAUUGAAGUUUGAGUCCAAAAUCAGAAUCGGAUUUUUAAGAAGUGGGUUUUAACUGCUUCUAAUUUUGGGCCUCGAAAAUUAGAAAACUGAUUCUAAAAAUUAGGAUCGGAUAUUGAAAAUAAGAUUACCAAACACUCUAUUGAGUCAAAAAUUACUUUUGAACCUAAAAUCACAACACCCACUAAAUUAGGCUUCUUGUGCAUAUCAUAGAAAGUGAGACAUAUACAAUGAACAAAGAACCAAGCAUCUUCCUCUUCCUAAAAGCCAAAUAUGAAUAUCUUAGAAGUGGAACCUAAAGGCGCUUUUUGGAAGAUAAGAGGAGGAAGCUACCACUUUUUUUUAAUUUUAUUUUUUUAUAAAAAGCUUUUUUUUUUUUUACUUUUUUAUUUCACUAAGAAAAGCUGCCUCAGAAAGAAAGUUGUAGUCUUUUAGUCCCACUUUGAACUCUGGCAAAGAAAAAAAGUGAAAGAAAGUAAAUGCUUUUAUGAGAGCUUUUUUUGGAUUGAAUUUGAAGAAAAUGGAGUCUUAAUUGAAAGGUUAGUUUUGAAUAUGAUCCUUUUAAAAUGCCACUUUAUAUUGUGCAUUAUUAAAUGUGAACAUUAAUUUUUCAUGAUCUUAUAUAACAUAACUUUGUUUACUCCAUGCUGUUUAAAGAAGUAAUAAUAAUUUUUUUCUUUGUCAAAAGUUCGAUUACUAAGUUACUUCGUCACAGUUAAUUUUUAGUUGGAUCUCUUCUAAUUUUUAUUUUGCGUAAAAUUGAAGUUCUAAUGUUGGUAAAGAAUAAUAAAACUUAGAAGUUUAAUUGUCCUAAAAAUUCUACCAUAUAUAUGUGCUCUUUGCUCACUACCUUAGUUGAUGUAAUGAUUGAUCAUUUUUGUGGCUCCAGCAAUUUGGUGCCCCAACCCUUUUUGACUUGGUGUAAAAUAACUUUUUGACUUUUGCUGUUGUCAACUUUGGGCUUUGACUCAGCUAGCACGUGUAUAUCUCUUUCUCCAUUAUUCAAUCGGUUUAAUAAUGUCAUGAGUGUAGUUGACUAAUUAAGAAGUUGAACAUUAGUACUCGAGAAUGUUUUAAGUUCGAAAUUUAAUUACUUCACAUUUGUAACUGUAUCUGAAUUUAUUUUUUUAAAAAAAAAACAAGUACCUUAGUACCUUUCUCUCCAAAAAAAAAAAAGAAUAAUGUUCUAAAAGAGAGCAUUUUCAUAUCAAAGUGUACAAGCAACAACCAAAGUCCACAUAGUUUACUUAGUAUUAUUUUUGAAUAAUUAACUAAAAUCCUAAGAUGAUAUAAGCACUUUGGUAGUUUCUACAUGGGUUUGAAUUACUCUAAUUUCAAAUGCUUUUUUUUUUGGUUUUUAAAGUGGUGUUCUUUGUAGAAAGUUUCCAAUUAGAAUGGGGAGUGUGAUUAACUGUGCUUCAUCUUUUAUUCAUCAUAUUUCUUUAUACCUCAUAAUUUUCUUUUCCUUUUUUAGGAGAAUUUUUAUGUAACAAAUUGUUUCUGAUCUUUGUACAUUAUGUAUUGGCUAGAUUUAUUUUCUCGAUUUAAUGUAGGACUAAUUCCCAUAUCGUCUAGUUUUGAAACUUGACGGGUAUCUCUACCACGCGGCACCAGCAAAGUGCAAUCGCAUGACGUAAUAUUCGAAGGGCUUGGAUCAACACAAAAGCUUAAACCGUCCCUAGAGCAAGUGGUAAAGGACUUGGUGGUUGGUAUCCGAGACCCAAGUUCGAAUCCUAAUUGAUUCAUAUUUCCAGCUAAGUUUAUUUCUAAAUAAAAUAAACGAAAUGAGUAGCGUGCUAACUAUCUCUCUCUCAAAAAAAAAAAAAAAAAAAAGGACAGAAAAAUUGCUACACAUUAUAUACAAGCCAAGUGUUUUCUUGUGGGUGGUGGGGGCCUUAAAUCAAUAUGAGACUCGAACAUGCGUAAUGGGCUGGUCUCCGGUAGGGUUUGAGAACGGAUCCGGCCUGCUAAUAAUCGAUCGGACCACACUAUGAAAAAUCGGUCCAGAAAAUAGGUUAAGGAGAUCGAACCCGGGCCUAUUUUUUUCGCAAGCCUCCCUACCAUGAGCUUCAUAAGUUUUGAACAUCGUGCACUGCCUAACGAAAUAUUACAUUGGAUCGAGCCAAUCAAAAUCGUCUAAAUCAUACAAUGCCAAUACAUCAGCAGCUUUAUAAAAGGCUUGAAUUUCUGAUGAUCUCCCAGGGACUUAAGUUAUUUUAGCGCUCAAUUGCGCAAACAGACCGCUGCUUAGAGCUUUUGAUUGCAAUUGGUAAAAGCAUCUGAGUUCUGUCACAAAGCAGAUUGAUGGUCUGGACUCUGGCUAGAUGCAGGCAAAGUUAGCAGCCUUAAUAUUUCUUCACUGGUGUCUGUGAACUGUGGCUGUGAUUCUUCACACACACACCCCUCUCUUAUAUUUUGGGCACUUGCAUGUUCUGGUGCUAGAUCUUCUGGACAUUCGUGUGAAUCAUUUAAGUUAGAUUGCGACCGUAAAUUAAAAUUUCAGUUCUAAUCAUUUCCGCGAUCGAUUCGUAUGAAAAUAAUAGUGGGACAGACUCUGAAUCACAGUACAAAUAUAAUGUGCAAUAGAUAAUUAAGAUUAAACCUUCGAUUUUCAUAUUGUUAAUGGAUGGGUUACUAGAUUCAAUGUGGUUGUGUCAUAAUAGUAAUAUAAGAAUGAAAAAGUUUAUACUAAACAUUAUAAAUAUGCUAUCACUAGUAUACUCAUUUAAUAUAUAUAUAUAUAUAUAAAAUUAAGUUGAAAUACUUCUAAUAGCAAAAGUCAUUGGUGUUAUUAAAUUUUCGACCCUUGAAUGAAGGAAUGUGCGGUUAGUAUAUAUGAUAGUAGUCCUCUACUAUUGAGUUGAUAUUUGGGUGAAUAGAAUGAUCUAACGGAUAGAAAUAGUUAAACAAAUAAAUCUAACAGUGAAAAAUUUUAAUAGACCGUCGUUUCAGUUUGGUGGGCUCUAGAGAUGUCAACGGGUCGGAUUCGGGGCGGAUUUUUAAAAUCCCGAACCCGAACCCGACUCCAAACCCGAGACCCGAACCCGAACCCGAACCCGACGGAUUUUAAAAAUCCAUAUCCGAAUCCAUAUCCGUCGGAUUUUUAUUUUUUAUAUCCAUAUCCAAAUCCAUAUCCAUAUCCAUCGGAUAUAUCCGUUUCAUUCGGGUUCGGAUUCGGAUAAAAUUUCGGGUAUCCAUACCCAUUAACAUCCCUAGUGGGCUCUCUGGUUAGAGCGGAAUAGAAGAAUCUUCGAUAAUAGAAAAAAAACCCAUGAGACAACUGUUGACGGACGUUCGUUCUUGUAGGACUCUUUGGGAGGAGCAUUGCAGCUAGAUAGUUUCUUCUUCUUCUUCUUCUUCUUUUUUUCGUUUCGAAGUCAGGUUGCUUCAAAUUGUUGCUUUAUUCAUCUUCCUAUUGAAUGAAGUAGUAACAUGCUACUUUUCUUUCAAAAAAAAAAAAGGAAAAAUUUUAAUAUGAUCAAGUGCUUGAUGCUGCACCACCGAACUCUCCCUCUCUCUCUCUCUCUCUCUCUCUCUCUCUCUCUCUAUAUAUGUAUAUAUGUAUAUCAAUGGCCACUGUAGUAUAGUCAAAUUGUCUUGUUUAGUGAAAACCAAGUAAAUGAACUACAGUGAUAGUUAGUACUCAACUAAACUAUCUCUCUCUCUCUCUCUAGAUGUCUCUCUAUGUUUGUUUGAAACUUAGGUGGACCAAUUUAAUUAAGUGUAGGAACAGCAACAGGGUACAUAUAUAACUCAUCAUUGCGUUCCCAAUCACCAUGCAUGCCCAUUAACUCCCCACCCAAUUAACCUGGCCACCUCAGUUAAUUCAUGUGGCUCCUACACCAAGGAAA